CUUUAGCCAAGACAGGUCUUUCAUUGUCUCAUUGUUUAUGAUCGUUAAAAGUUGUAGCUGUGGCCAUUCAAGGCUUUCGGCAUUGUUUUCACCGUCUUGUACCCCGUCAAUGGAAAAGCUCCAAAGCUGUUUGGAAUUCUUAAACAUUCGCUUCCAGUCAAGUUUGAUAGUCGAUUGCACACUAAUGUCACAUCGUCUUAGAUUGACAAGUUGCCACAGGUCGGUGAAAUCACCAAAGUCCAUGCUCUUUGCCCGCAACUCCAGUGUCUCCAUGGCCACUAGUGCACCAAGGCUGUGAGGUAUUUUUAUUGUUGCACCAUAGAGGUCUAGCUUUAAAUGUCUUAGCUUGUGUAGGCUUGAAAUUCCACUCAAAUUCACAGCUAACUCCUUACCGGAAUGAAGCUCCAGCUCUUCCAAGUUGAAUAAUUGGGGCAGUAAUGCAAAGUUGAAUUUUGUGGUAUUAUCGCAUUUCAAAACCUUCAGUGAUGUCAAGCUGAAGAGCGCAUCUGGUAAUAUUGUCACACUUGAAUAUAGAAGGUCAAGCACUUGAAGGUUUCUCAGCUUGGAUAUGCUCUCUGGAAUAAAACGGACCUGAUCAGAGCAGUGAAGCAAGCUCAAUACCUUGACAUUUUGGAUGUGAUCUAUAAUAAGACUGACAUCCACACCAGAAAUUCCAUAACAUCCAUCGAGAAGCAAGACAUCUCGCACAUGAAUGUCAGACAAAAAGCUGCUUGUAACCUUCUUUCUGAUGAAUGAAACUUUAGAAAAUGUUGGAGAAAUCCCAGGUGGACAAUCAUAGCCAAACAGGCAUCCCUUCUCGUGCUCUUCCUGGGGUGGGUACUUCCCUUUCAAGAUUCUUAUGCACAGCUUGCGUACCAUAUCGUGCACAGUUACAUACUUACCCCAUCGAUCAUCAGUUGUCUUCACUAGGCAUCUUCGUUCCAGUUCACUAACAAUCUGCAGAGGCGAGAGUUCUGACCCAACCGCUAUCAAACAUUUUCUCAGAUCAUCAAAGUCGAUUGGCCAAUCUUCUGGAAACGCAGCCACAUAGAGAAAGCACUCUUGCAGCUUUUCAUCCUUAUUAGACAGCUCGUCAUAGCUAAACUUCAAGGGCUGGAACAUCCGCUUCUCAAUGUCCCCGUCAUCCAACAAAUGCAUCUUCUGAUAGCGUUCUUCCCACACCUGCGGCCUGUCAUGCCUGUAGUCAGCCAUGGCACUGCCAAUCACUUCAAGAGCUAAAGGGAGCCCCUCACAUUUGCUAGCUAUUCUCUCGGCAACUUUCACAAUGUCCGGAUCACUAGGUAGUGAAUCAUAAAAGGCAAACUUCCAAAACAUCUUUUUGCUCUCGUCCUCUGAUAGCUCAUGCACAGGAAGUUCCUUUGCACCCAGCAUGCUCAAAAUGCCUUUCUUUCUGCUUGUUACCAGCACCCGGCUGUAAGAGGACGGCCCUGCUGUAAAAUCCAGUCCCUUGGCCCAGCUCAUUUCCCACACAUCAUCCAGUAUCAGCAAGACACGAAUUCCACGAGCAACAUUUUGUGCCAAGUGCUGCACAUGCUCAAGGGUGCCUGCAUUUUGGGCCCUCUCUCUCAUGCCGCCCCAGUCAAGAGCGUUGAGGAGCUGGGCCCUGAGAUCAUCCUCCGAUGCAUCUUUCUUGACAGUGAUCCAUACAAUGUUGUCAUGGAAAUGCUGCCGGACCCUCUGGUCAUUGUUCACGAAUUUUGCAAGGGUGGUCUUGCCACACCCUCCCAUUCCCAGGAGUCCAAACCAUUUCCCCGGGGCUUGUGGAUCCAGGAGGGCAUUCACCACCUCAUCCACCUGCUCCCCAUGGCGGCCAAACAUGUCGCUGGGCUCGGGAACACCAUGCCGUACAUAGUUUACGAGACCUCUGUCUUGUGGACAACUCCGUACGGAAAAGCUGGUGCUCCGCUGUAUCACUCUCAACUCUUCUCGCUCGUACCUUUCAAUGUGCGGGAGGAGAUCGUUCUCGCAAGUGCGUACCAGCUCCGAAAUCGUGCCAGAUCGCUUCUCCCUGCGCGAAAGAUCCAUCUUUUAGCUUCAUUGCUUCAAACAUGAAUUCGAAUAAGCCUUACUGUGAUCCAAGCAGCGCUUGCGCCUUCUCAGUCCAUUCAGUCAGUUCAGUCAGCCACGCCUCAGCCUCACCAGAGUAGCGGAAAUCUGGAUUCCUGUGCUUGGGAGCAUUAAACUUGUCAAGCGUGGGCUGGGUUCUGGAUGCCCUCUUCUGUAGGUCCUCAAUGUGGACAUUCAGCUCAUGCUCGUGACCUUGGAUGUGCGACAGGAGAUCGUCGUAGGCACUUAAGGACUUCGCGAUGUCGUUACUCCGCUUGUACCUAUAGGAAGUGGAGAAGUUCAACCAGCUGCCUGCCAUUUCUACACACACACACACACAAAAGAUAAAAUGCUACUGUACCCACCGCUUUAUGGGGCUCCAGAUCCUGUUGUGGCGUGAUCCCAAGAGUGCUUGUGCCGUGGUGUUCCAUUUCCUGACACGCUCCAAGCAUUUCUCGGCCGCUUCAGAGAACGUGAAGCCAGGAUUCUGCUGCUUGUGAACACUGAAAGCUUCGAUCUUGUCCUGGAUGUGGGGCGCCUUGUUCUCCAGCGUGUCAAUGUUGGCAUUGCAGUCCCAUAUCUUCUUAGCAGGGCCCAGAGCCAAGCCACACAAGACGCCUGUCAAGGAGCCCACAACCUCCAUGCUUGUAGCCCUACAAGUAAAGGUCGUCUCCCAGAACUCUUGGCCUUGGUACCCCCUCUUAAAAUGAACAGUAAUUUUCAGAGAGGUAUAAGCUGUUACAAGUGACUUCAGUUUAAUUAGAGUUGAUUGCUUGCAGUAGAGCGAGUAGUAGAGGGCCUCGUGCAGCACCCUCCCUCUUGCAAUGCCAGCUGUGGCUCUCUCUCUCUCUCUCUCUCUCAUUGCUCCGACAUUGUAAGUUUCUCCAGGAGAGGUAACUUUUGUCGCUUUGUUUUAGUUGCACACAGAUAGGACGCCUUCCAGCUGACUGGGCCACGUGUUUGAUUGCUUUGGGUCAGGAAAGCGUACUCUGGGUCAUUCUUCACUAUUUUUGAGACUAGAAAUGUAUAUGGUUUUACUUUUGAACUAGGAUAGUUUAUAUGUUUUAAUAUAGUUAACACUCUGGAACUUGAUUUAUAAUAUUAAGGACAUCAAGAAUUAUUUUAAAAUUGGACUAAAACUUGAUUUUCCUUAUGGAUUUUCAACUACAUAUAAAAGAUGUACAUUCAUGUAAUUUAUUCAUAUGACAAUAUUCUUUUGAUAAGAGCAUAGGUUGUGCUGUUUAACAAACAUAUGAUGUUUUUGACUGGAACUUUUAUGAAAAAAUUCCCACACUUCAAUAAGAAAAUAAACAAAUUUAUAUUGUUUUUAUUUGCUGCAGAAUGUCCUUUUUUAAUUCUAUAUGAAUUGGGAUUGUUGGUUACAACUUCCAUACAUAUAACAUAUAAAUGUUCUAUUGCAAACAUCUUUACCACAUAUUUAAUUCUUCCUUGGAUCCUCAUAAUAUAAUCAAUUGCCACUUCUAUAGAAUUGUCUUUAUUGUUACUUCUAUAGUAGUGUCCUUAUUGUGGGCACCUUCUGGAAAUUUGUGAUAAAUUACAUCCAAAACUAAAUAAAAGUAAUUCCAAACAUUGUUAUAGUAUGGCACAAUGUAAACUUCUCUAACUAGAGUAUUCAUUAGUAAGAUGCAAAUAUGAUUAAAUUGAAUAUUCCCUAAAACUAAAAUAUGAGAACCUAUGUGGUGAUAUUUCAUUAGAGUUCUUCUUAGUUCACCUACAUAGUAACUGAGAAAAAAUUAUUAACUUCUACCAAAGAAAUAGAUAGAUAGACAAUUUCUCACUAGUAGUAUUUAACACAAAUAAAGAUUUCAAUUGCACCCCUAAUCCCAACUAAGAAUAUCUUUAUAAUUUGAGUAAAAUAUAUAUCACUUGGAAAACCAUAUAGUUAUAAGCAUGAAAUAUAAUAUGAUUAUUACAAACCUACCACCAUAGUUGUGUUUUGCUUUUGCACUAUGAUCUUAGCAUGUAUUGCCACAAUUUUUAAUUCUUCCUCUUUCAUGACAUUUUCUUCAACCAAAUUAUCAUUAGGUAAACUAUUCAUCACUCAUUCCAACAUCACUAAUGACAAAUAUAAUGUUCUCUCACAAAUCAUAUCCAAACCCAUUUGCUAGAUUAUAUGGUUCUGACUUUCCUCCCAAAUCCACUCUAUUAUUUGUCACCGUGCUAACUUAUGCAUUUUUAGUGAGAGUAAGUGUUUGCCUAUGCUUAUAGAAAGUAGAUUUGGUGAAAAAAUAACCUUUUGCUGCCCUUGUUGUAACAUAUGAUAGACAACAAUAAUUUUUCUUUCUUUUUUGCUUUAGUUUGGUAUGAACCAUUGAGAUGUGUCAUUUUCUGGCUAAUCUAGUGAUUCCAAUCCCCAGACAAAUAUUACAAUCAACAUUACAAGGCAAGCACAUUCUUGCAAAACUUGUGAAACUUAAAAAUACACAAUUAUCACAUAUCUUUUAGUGUUUUUAAUGUUGUCAGCCUCGUGGUUUUUUGCUGCUUUCUUUCAAAAACAUAAUAUUGUUAUAAAUAUUUUUUUUGAGGUAUUUUUCAAGUCCUUAUUUAGCAAAUUCAUAAUGGAGGUAGAGGAGAUAAAUUGCCCAAUCCGUAAUGCUUUUUGGGAUUGGGCUUAUAAGUAACAUUUGAUAAGCAUAGAACAUAGGAAGGUUAAAGCUUUUUACUUGUUUUUAUUGAUAGAAGUUUUUUUAUUUUGGUAUCAUGCUUACUUUAGCAAAAAUCUUUAACUCUUUGAGUUAGGUAAGGAUAAUUGCUUUUCUCUAAGGCUAUAAAGGUUUUAUGAAGAUCUUGCUUAUAUCCUUAUGCAUCUAAUGUGCCAGUUAUGUUUUUAAAUGAUUUUUUAUUUGAUUUUGGAAAUCUUUUAUUUACAAUUCUUAUAUGCACUACUAUUUUGUGUUGUUAGAGCUUACCAUUGCAUCCACAAUAACAUUAAUAUGUCUUCAAUUGAUCUUAAUAUGAUGCAAGAUAAAUGACUAUUUAAGGAUGACCUGUGAUUUGCAAAUGAUUUUGGACUUGGAAGAUGAUUGAGGUUGGGAUCGAUGGCAUAGAUGGCAUGCUGUUGUUUUAUAUUAUAGCAAGGUCCACCAACCAUGGUGCUAUUUGGCCUAUAAAGCAAUUAGAAUUGGUAAAGUGAUGUUUUUAAUUAUACAUUUUUUAAUAUAGUUAUGUGUUUGGAUUAUUAGGGUAUAAGUUGUUUGAAAGAAACUCCAUACCCUAGAAGUAAAUAAAGAGUCAAAAUAGUCUAAUGAUGCAACUAUGGAGAUAGAGCGAGCAUAAUUAGCUAAAAUCAAUAUAAAUUUGUUACUUAAUUUAUAUAUAUUUUUUACAUUUGAACUUCCCACAUGUGAGAUAGGGUUUGCAUAGUAGGGUUUAGUGGGCGGCGAGAUUGUAAAGGUGUUAAGUUUUGUAUCUGCUUAUCGUUCUAUUUGAAUUGACAAGCUGAGAUAAGGUAAGCAAUGGGUGAAAAUACACAAAGUGAAUCCCUUUUUUUUUUCCUAAAAUAUUGAUGACCUUAGCAAAAUUGAAUGGACCAUUUAGCAAGGGAUUGUAUAAAUAUAUUAUGAGUGUUUGUUUGGCUAGAGUGUUGCCAAACUUCAAUAACAAAAUUGAGAGUGAUGGAUUUUUUAGAGAGGAUUAUUUCAAGCUUAACAUUCCGAUAUGGAUGAGCAUUGGAGCAAAAAAAAAGGAUGCAAUCCAAUUGACAAAGAAACUCAAAAAUCUCAAUGAUUCGUCGGAAUAGAUAUGCUAUAAAAAGCAUGCCCAAAAUAAAAGCCCUUCACGAAAACAAUAGUACCAGCCAACACUCACUUAAGAAUAAAACACACAAAAUCAAGGAUUAUAAAAAUAGCAACCAAGGUUUGCAACACCAAUUUUUAAUGUUAAGUACUCCAAGCGCUUACUAGAUUUUUUAUUAACUUUAUUUAGCAAGAAUCUACUUUAUGAGUUAUUGUAAAUCUUUCCUAACUACAAAAGAGGAUACUUCAAAUGUGAAAGGUAAGUGGAGCAAAGAACUAAACUAAUUGAGCAAGUUUUUGAGUGUAAAAUAAAUAAUCAGUUCCUUUUGUAUUUAUGAGUUCAAAAUAAAAGAGAUCUUCAUUAUAUUGUGAUAUCAACUUCAGAAAGUAGUGGUUGCUAAAAUAGAGCAAAUAAAAGAGUUUAUAAAGUACUUGUAUGACUAGAGUGUUGUAAAUCUCCUUGCAUUUAAGUUAAAUAUGUAGAUCUUGAGUUUUUUAAAGUACAAACCAUAUUAGUUUCAAUAGAAAAAACCUCAUAGUUUUCAAUAUAACUUUUGCAAUAUCUUCAAAUAGCAAGGAUAACAAUUUUAGAUAAAUGGCAAUGAGUUAGAACUACAAUAGUUAAGAAAGUUUAUAGUGGCACAUUCAUUUGAAAGUAUAAAGCUCUACGAGUGAGGAUAAUUUCACUCAUAGAUAAGGAUUUACUGGCCAAUAUAAAGGUUUUUUUUCAUAUGUGAGGUAAAUUUUUUUUAGGAUGGCAUUUUAAAAUUAUGCUCAACACUAAAGAAAAAGGUAUGGACUAAUUUUAAAUUUUAAGUUCAGGAGAUGUAUUGGCCUAAGUGCAUGAAGGCCAUUGUCAUUGGCAAGGAUAAUGAAAAAAUUAUUAAAGCAGUAUUAUUUUCAAAAGAAUUUUAUAGUUUUUUAAUUUUUGUUUAUGUAGCUCUAGACUGAAUCAUAUGGCAACGGAUGUGAGGAGCAACCCCCAUACCCUACUAAACAAAAUUGAUGAAGAAAUUGAGUGUGAGAUUAUAACCAAAGAAGAAAAAGGUAAAUUUCAUAGUAUAACUUAAUUGUAUAUAUGGAUUAAUAUUUUCUGGCUCUAUUUACAAAUAGAAGAACACUGAAAGUGCUUCCUUAAAUAAUUUUUUAUUAAAAUGUGGAUAAUAUUAUAAAAAUUUUUUAUUGUUUUGCAACAAUCUUCACUAAAUUUUUUUUUUUUGGCUUGUGUGUAUUAAUUAUAACUAACUUGUAUAACUUUGUAAGUGUCAUCCACAAUAGUAAAAGCUUAGCCUAUGGCCAUAAAUAUUUAUAAGGAGGUGUAUUGAUUCUUAAGCUUGUAUAUAUUAUAUAAUAUAUGAGGAAAAAGAAGUGGAAUACACUGUAAAUGCAAAAAAAAAAUCAACAACUAUUAAUAAAGUAGUAUAAUAACAAAUCAAUAUAAGUAAUUUUAUUUUUUUCCACUCAAAUUUAGCAAAUACUUGCAAGAAUUUUCUAAGCUUAACAUAGCAAUUCUAAGAAAAUUAGUGGAAUUGCUCCUUGAAUUUAAGUUUUCUUUUGUUAACAUAAAGCAAUUUUAUAAAAAUGAAAACUAUAUUUACCAAUUGCCAAAUGCUUGCAAAAUUAAAACUGAACAAACCUUAAAGGACAUUGUUGAGAAGAGUGUGAAGUUUGAAUAAUUGAUUAUAUUUAAAGAGGCUUGGUCCAUAAAUACUUGGGACUACACCACUAUGAUAUUAAAAAAUUAAAAUGUAAUUAAAACCAUAUCUAUAAAUAUGGUUUUAUAUAUAAAAAUUUAUAUGCAACACUAUAUCUGAAUUGUGAAUAAAAUUAUGUGAACAAAAUUGGCAAACAUCAGUUUCAAAACUAUAUAGAUAUCAGUAAACUAUAUAGAAAAGUAUAUGUACAUUUAUUCUCAAAAUACAACUCAAUCAUAUUCAAAAUUAUACAAAAAACCAUUCAUUAUGAUUGCCAAAUAGAGCAUAAAUCAUGAUGAAAACUAUGUACAAAACGAUUAGUGGUUGUGGUCCCAAAAGCAAUGCAUUAACAAUUAAGAAACCAAUCAUGAAACCAUUAAAGUCACAUAUGGUUUAACACAACCAUCUUGUUUUGGUACUAGUUAUAGUAACAAACCAUAUUGAUGAGCGUGUAAUGCUGGGCAACACUAUGCGACACUCUGGGUUUUAGAAAUAGGAAGAGGCUCCAGCUUAAGGCUCCAACCCCAGCGUUGGUAAAUCGUCGACGACAGGGAGUUCUAGAUCUACGGUGACAACAAAGGCCCCUGCGGCAAAAUGUUCCAUCGGCAGUGGAUUGCCAAAAACUCCUGCAAAAGCUGAGGCUUCUAGGACAGCAAAAAUUGUCGAGGUGAGCAAUGAUAGUGGAGCAGAGGAUUUAUAUGAUUCGGGAGUAGAAAGUGGAGCGAGGUAAACAAGAUCAUGACUGGAGGAGGAAACGAUGCCGAGGUGGAAAGAACAACAGUGGUGGAGAGCUCCAUUGAGACUGUCAGGAAACAUGGCGAGGCUGUUUCUAGCGCCUUAGCUGGACUUUCAAUCAGAGGUAGUGCCUUGACCCACGGUAAUCCCGUUAAGAUGGAAGCUGGUUGUGGUUCCGUGAAAGCUGAAGCUUCGGUUUUGAUCGCAGCUGGAUGUGAUCCUACGAAAGUAGAUGGCUUGGUGAAGAUGGAAGCUGGUUGUUUUACAUGCAGAGAGGUGGUGGCUUCUCCAAGAGACUGAAGUUGCCGGGUACUCGACGUCCAGGGGAUGCUGGAUUCGUGUUGGCGAGUUCGUGUCCUUCAAUUUUCCCAAGCCUGAAGUCGAAAGUAAGAAGAAGUUCUUUGAGCACAAGAAGGUUCGGCCGAAAGCGAGCUCCGACAUUGUAAGGUUCUUGACAAAAGCUUCAGGAGAGGUACGUUUCACUUGACUUGUUUCUUCGUUUUAAUUCUAACCAUUUGCUCACAGAUAGGACGGCUUCCAGCCGACUGGGCCAAGUGUUCGAUACCUUUGGGAAGUGCAAAAUGGCACCAGAGGCUCUUUCUCUUAUGAGCAGCAUAGUUCUCCAUUUUUCUGUGUUUACCAGAGACGUUACGUAUAUGAUGUGCUUGCAGAGUUUAUAUCAACAAGUCAGAAGCCUUACGAGGAGGGGGAUGAGCGCGGAUUGAAGCUUCUGCAAGCUAUGUUGAAGCCGUUAAUGCUUCGAAGAACAAAAGAUUCAACUGAUAAAGAAGGAAGGUAAGCAUUCUUUUCUUUGCACCGUGCCUUGUCUUGUAUUCACUCACAAGUUGGAUUCACAGACCAAUUCUUGUUCUCCAACCGACUCAAUGUGAAGUUAUUGAAUGCAAACUAUCUGAGCCUGAACGUGAUUUUUAUGAUGCCCUUUACCACAGAUCUAAGGCAUAAAGAACUUCUCUUUCUUUUACUUUCUCUUUUUUCUGAACACGAUUUUGCGUUUGUGAUCAGGUAAAAUUCGAUCAGUUCGUUGGACAAGGUAAAGUUCUCCAUAACUAUGCCUCGAUCCUCGAACUGCUACUUCGAUUACGGCAAGCUUGUGAUCAUCCUUUUCUUGUUCUGAGGUAGAAAAUGCAUCCUCUUAUGUCUGAAGUUCCUGACGUUUUCUUCGUCACGCAGCCGUGGCGAUACUGAAGACUUUGCGGACCUGGGAAAGCUGGCUAGACGUUUCCUCCCAGGUGCCUUCGACGGCGUAUGUCAAAGAGGUGGUGGAUGAUAUUCGUAAAGGAGAAAGUGCUGAGUGCCCAAUUUGUUUGGAGAUGCCAGAGGACGCAGUUCUUACAUUGAAAGUGCCGUGAGUGCCGAGAAUGUGGACGAUCGAGCAUCGGUCAGACGAAGAACGUAUCGAUCAAGCGAUUCAUCGUCAAAGUAAGCGCCACUUGAAACUCUCUUUGACGUUUCUCAUGUCUCUUAAGCAGGAUCCAAGCGAGGAAGCAGCGAUUGAUCGCGGGGGCUCUCACAGACGAAGAGGUGCGAAGCGCUCGAAUCGAGGAGCUCAAAAUGCUAUUUAAAUGAGAAGAACUGGAGUCCUUAGCAUUUUUUUAACUUACAUCAGGUUAAAGAGGGGAAUAUGCUUCUAGCUUCGGCGCGUAUAUUCUUCAAUGUGUCAUAGCUAGGUUUCUUCGCGGCUAUGGCGGACAGCGAAGGAGCAGGCGAUUGCGUCGCAAGCGCGUUUGAUUCCGGCAGCAUCGGCGACGAGCAACGUAUGCAUGCUAGGAGCAGCAGCAGCGCCAGCGCCGGCGCCGCGCCGCGAUUUCGCUGGCCUAGAGCCGGAGUAGCCGAUCUAGAUUCAUGCAAGCAUAUGAUCUCUGGGAAAUUGAGCUGAACGCUGAGGCUUUGCAGGCGAUCGCGUCGAUUCCUCUCGUCUCCGCGGCCGGGGCGGCUAGAAAGCCGGGGCGCAUUCUAGAGUUUCGGGGUUUCUGGGGCGAUCAGUCAUGUAGCGCGCCUUGACUGCCACUACUCAGGCCGAGGAUGAACUGGGCGUGGAUGUGUCGUCUCCUCCACGACCACUCUACGUCCCAGCAAUAAGAUUUGGUGGGUGGUAGCAGCACCAAGACCCACUUUUCCCUUCGGAUCCAUUCUUGACUCCGUCGGACCACUGAUUUCUACGCUCUCCUCUUCCAGUCGAGAGACCGUUCCAUCCGCCAGUGCCGUAUCCUUUUCCAAAUGCUCGGACUUUCCAGCCUGCUGAUAAUGUGGUUCAUCCGCCGCAUUCCUCUGGGGAGCUUAAAGCUCGUCCUGGCCUUCACUUCGAGUCUCCGGUGUUUGGACCCAGCGCAGCAGAGACCUCGGACUCCAAGCGCGCCCCAGAGCAGCCGAGGAGAUCGGUUACACCUGCGAAGGAUGACAAGCAACAAUUCCACGGCAAUGGUUCCGAGCUCCUUCAGUUGUUACAGGGUGGUCCUGGUCGUGUGAAGCCCACAGCCUCCACAAAGGUGGAUGCUACACAGGACAGUGGGGAUUCUGGAGAGCCAUCAAAGAAAGGAAGUCCAUCUGCUGUUCACGGCCCAUGUCCUUUCUCCUCCGCAGAGUCCAAAUGACCUCCUUGGACGUUUGUGGGCUGCUCUUCCGUCGUCAAGCCACACUUCGUUUGACGGAGAAAGCGAACGCAAGACGUCAGCCCGGAGCUUUGGCGUUGAAGUGAACGAGAUGUCCCGGGAAGUCGACGGAGGUGAAGCUGCUGGUUUCGCACUUUUGAAGCGAAGGGGAUCGGAGCCUGCCGCCUCGCACUACCUUUAAACGGCUACGACUAUAACGACUCUAAGACAAAUGAUAAGCCGAGGACAAACUUGGCAUCCGGAAGACUACAGGACUAUCGUGGGAGAUACGUAAAUGGAGAGGCCGAAUUUGAGCCCGGAGGCGAUGACUUUAGAGGUGCGGGAAGGCGUCGAGGUACCGGUCGUGCAGACGCCAGACGCGGUGGUCGGGGUGCUGUUGGCCAGUGGAUUGCGGUAAGUGAGAGGCAUAAAGAUGCUGAGCCAAGUGACAUCACCUCCUGCGAUAUCUCUGAUGGAAGGGACGAGUCGCUUAAAUCUUCAAACGGGACUCAGUCGAAUGCUAGGAGAAAACAUCAACAGGUAUGGAGGAUAAAACAGGCCGACUCAAAGGCAGCAUUUCCAGCGGAGGAAAAACCGGACUACGAGGUUCCAAAGGCACGGUCUUUGGCAUCUCAACUUGAACGUCCAGCAUCGGAAAGUACGCAAAACUCUUCCGUUGGUGCGGCUUUUGAGGAGUCCAAACAGCGGCUCCAUAAUCUAGAUGCUUUGGAAGGAGAAGGCGUGACGACCUCUCUAGAUCUCGAGGAGCUACAAAUUGACGGUCACCGUCGUGAGGGUAAAGCUCCACAGUUUUACAAGGUUUGUGCUUGCUUUUUUUCUUUCUCUAUUUUCAUGUGUUUGUAUCUCUGGUUACAGCCGAAGGAGAACCGUUUCAGGACCUCUGAAGAACUAAAGGUAUGCAUAUGCAUAUUCUUAAUAUUGUUAUGUUUUCCAUGUUUUACCAUUUACUCUAUACACCAGAUUUUAAAAUACUCAAAACCACGAGAGUAAAGUAAUAUCCUGAGAAUACGAUUUGUAAGAAAAACAGAAACUGUGUCUUCUCCAAACGCUGCUGACGGCUUGGAAAUCUCUGUUUUUGUUUUUUGAGUGAUGCAAAAUAGUGUAGCAUUUGCGCAGAUCGAGAACCCAAUCGAUGUCCACUGAAGGAGCAAGGUUUACUAGCGCCCGUAGAAUGUUAUCUGGAGAUCUGGCCGCUCCUCAAGCCAUGGUGGAACUUUCGUACCUUUUAGGCAGCGUAGGACUUUGAGCCUGGGAAAUAAGCCAAGGCCGUGAUCGUCUGAACUCAAUUGGGGCCACACUACAUCAUCAUGACCAGAGAGCUCAAGUUCCUCCAAUCCUGGAAGGGAUGCAAUGGAUGAUGGAAUAUUUUCGAUCCCUAUCAAGUGCGCCCAUCUUAAAAGAGUCAUCUGGUCUGUUGGCUCAAAGAAAUCAUUGGGGAUACAGCCCUUCCACAAAAAUAAUGUGACGCAUUUCACCUUCAGCUGUGAUCUCUCGGUUGGCAUCAAGAGUCUCCUCAUGUAACCUUCUACUCUCAGUUCAUCAAGGUCUUUGGGGUGUUGUGUCACAAAGAGAGGCAAAUGCUCCCAUGUAUUAUCAGGAGCCAGCUUGAAUGUUAAAAGCUGCAGGUUUGGAAGACUUGCUGCCAAAUCGUCCUUGAACUCCGACUGUGCAAUGUGUAGAUUUUCAAGGCCCAGAACUUCAAGGCAUGGGAACGAUCCAUCUAAACUGAAGAACUGGAUACCACUGUCUAGGCGAAGUUCUCGUAGCCGCUGAAAGCCCUUUAACCAGGACAGGUCUUUCAUUGUCUCAUUGUUCCUGAUGGUUAACAAUUGUAGCUGUGGCCAUUCAAGGCUUUCGGCAUUGUUUUCACCGUCUUCAACCCCGUCAAUCGCAAAGCCCUCAAGCUGUUUGGAAUUCUUAAACAUUCGCUUCCAGUCAAGUUUGAUAGUCGAUUUCACCCAAAUCUCACAUCGUUUCAGAUUGACAAGUUGCCACGGGCCGGUGAAAUCGCCAAAGUCCAUGCUCUUUGCACGCAACACCAGUGUCUCAAUGUCCACUAGUGCACCAAGGCUGUGAGGUAUUUUUAUUGUUGCACCAUAGUAGAGCUCUAGCUUUAAAUGUCUUAGCUUGUGUAGGCUUGAAAUUCCACUCAAAUCCACAGCUAACUCCUCAAAGGAAUGAAGCUUCAGCUCUUCCAAGUCGAAUAAUUGGGGCAGUAAUGCAAAGUUGAGAUUUCUGGUAGCCUUGCAUUUCAAAACCUUCAGUGAUGUCAAGCUGAAGAGCGCAUCUGGCAAUUGAGGCACAUCAUCGUAGGAUGGAAAGUGAAGCACUUGAAGGUUUCUCAGCUUGGAUAUGCUCUCUGGAAUAGAACGGGCCAAAUUAUAGCAUCCAUUCAAGCUCAAUACCUUGACAUUUUGGAUGUGAUCUAUAUCCAAACCAGAAAUUUCAUGAGGUCCAUCGAGAAGCAAGACAUCUCGCACAUGAAUGUCAGACAAAAGGCUGCUUGUAACCUUCUUUCCAAUGAAUGAAACUUUAGAAAAUGUUGGAGAAAUCCCAGGUGGACAAUCAUAGCCAAACAGGCAUCCCUUCUCGUGCUCUUCCUGGGGUGGGUACUUCCCUUUCAUGAUUCUUAUGCACAGCUUGCGUACCAUAUCGUGCACAGUUACAUACUUACCCCAUCGAUCAUCAGUUGUCUUCACUAGGCAUCUUCGUUCCAGUUCACUAACAAUCUGCAGAGGCGAGAGUUCUGACCCAACCGCUAUCCAACAUUUUCUCAGAUCAUCAAACUCGAUUCGCACAUCUUCUGGAAACGCAGCCACAUAGAGAAAGCACUCUUGCAGCUUUUCAUCCUUAUUAGACAGCUCGUCAUAGCUAAACUUCAAGCGCUGGAACAUCUGCUUCUCAAUGUCCCCGUCAUUCAACAAAUGCAUCUUCUGAUAGCGUUCUUCCCACACCUGCGGCCCGUCAUGCCUGUAGUCAGCCAUGGCACUGCCAAUCACUUCAAGAGCUAAAGGGAGCCCCUCACAUUUGCUAGCUAUUCUCUCGGCAACUUUCACAAUGUCCGGAUCACUAGGUAGUGAAUCAUAAAAGGCAAACUUCCAAAACAUCUUUUUGCUCUCGUCCUCUGAUAGCUCAUGCACAGGAAGUUCCUUUGCACCCAGCAUGCUCAAAAUGUCUUCCUUUCUGGUUGUUACCAGCACCCGGCUGUAAGAGGACGGCCCUGCUAUAAAAUCCAGUCCCUUGGCCAAGCUCAUCUCCCACACAUCAUCCAGUAUCAGCAAGACACAAAUUCCACGAGCAACAUUUUGUGCCAAGUGCUGCACAUGCUCAAGGGUGCCUGCAUUUUGGGCCCUCUCUCUCAUGCCGCCCCAGUCAAGAGCGUUGAGGAGCUGGGCCCUGAGAUCAUCCUCCGAUGCAUCUUUCUUGACAGUGAUCCAUACAAUGUUGUCAUGGAAAUGCUGCCGGACCCUCUGGUCAUUGUUCACGAAUCUUGCAAGGGUGGUCUUGCCACACCCUCCCAUUCCCAGGAGUCCAAACCAUUUCCCCGGGGCUUGUGGAUCCAGGAGGGCAUUCACCACCUCAUCCACCUGCUCCCCAUGGCGGCCAAACAUGUCGUUGGCCUCGGGAACACCACGCCGUACAUACUUUACGAGACCUCUGUCUUGUGGACAACUCCGUACGGAAAAGCUGGUGCUCGGCUGUAUCACUCUCAACUCUUCUCGCUCGUACCUUUCAAUCUGCGGGAGGAGAUCGUUCUCGCAAGUGCGUACCAGCUCCGAAAUCGCGCCAGAUCGCUUCUCCCUGCGCGACAGAUCCAUCUUUUAGCUCCAUUGCUUCAAACAUGAAUUCGAAUAAGCCUUACUGUGAUCCAAGCAGCGCUUGCGCCUUCUUAGUCCAUUCAGUCAGUUCAGUCAGCCACGCCUCAGCCUCACCAGAGUAGCGGAAAUCUGGAUUCCUGUGCUUGGGAGCAUUAAACUUGUCAAGCGUGGCCUGGAUUCUGGAUGCCCUCUUCUUUAGCUCCUCAAGUGGACAUUCAGCUCAAGCUCGUGACCCUUGAUCUGCGACAGGAGAUCGCCGUAGGCACUUAAGGACUUCGCGAUCUCGUUACUCCGCUUGUACCUAUAGGAAGUGGAGAAGUUCAACCAGCUGCCUGCCAUUUCUACACACACACACACACAAAAGAUAAAAUGCUACUGUACCGACCGCUUUAUGGGGCUCCAGAUCCUGUUGUUGCGUGAUCCCAAGAGUGCUUGUGCCGUGGUGUUCCAUUUCCUGACACGCUCCAAGCAUUCCUCGGCCGCUUCAGAGAACAUAAAGCCAGGUCCAUUUCGCUCCUUGAGAUCACCAAAAGCGUCGAUCUUGUCCUGGAUGUGGGGCGCCUUGUUCUCCAGCGUGUCAAUGUUGGCAUUGCAGUCCCAUAUCUUCUUAGCAGGGCCCAGAGCCAAGCCACACAAGGCGCUUGCCAAGGAGCCCACAACCUCCAUGCCUGUAGACCUACAAGCAAAGGUCGUCUCCCAGAACUCUUGGCCUUGGUACCCCCUCUUAAAAUGAACAGUAAUUUUCAGAGAGGUAUAAGCUGUUACAAGUGACUUGAGUUUAAUUGGAGUUGAUUGCUUGCAGUAGAGCGCGUAGUAGAGGGCCUCGUGCAGCACCCUCCCUCUUGCAAUGCCAGCUCUCUCUCUCUCUCUCUCUCAUUGCUCCGACAAGAAUGCUCCGACAUUGUAAGUUUCUCCAGGAGAGGUAACUUUUGUCGCUUUGUUUUAGUUGCACACAGAUAGGACGCCUUCCAGCUGACUGGGCCACGUGUUUGAUUGCUUUGGGUCAGGAAAACGUACUCUGGGUCAUUGUUCACUAUUUUUGAGACUAGAAAUGUAUAUGGUUUAUUUUGUAAUGGAAAACAAUAUACUUUUGAACUAGGAUAGUUACAAGAUAAACAUUAGCACUUUCUCAAGAAAUUCUAAAAAUGAGAAAAAAUAAAAAUAUGAAAAUUACAAAUGCAUAAUCAAAUGAAGCAAAAUUUUGUUAUAGUUAAAUUUUCAGGAUUCAUGGUACUUGAGGAAAUGAGAAUCUUGGCUAGCUGGAACUUGAUUUAGGACAUCAAGAAUUAUUUUAAAAUUGGAAUAAAACUUGGUUUUCCUUAUGGAUUUUCAACUACAUAUAAAAGAUGUACAUUCAUUCGUAUGACAAUAUUCUUUUGAUAAGAGCAUAGGUUGUGCUGUUUAACAAACAUAUGAUGUUUUUGACUGGAACUUUUAUGAAAAAAUUCCCACACUUCAAUAAGAAAACAAACAAAUUUAUAUUGUUUUUAUUUGCUGCUGAAUGUCCUCUUUUAAUUUUAUAUGAAUUGGGAUUGUUGGUUACAACUGCCAUACAUAUAACAUAUAAAUGUUCUAUUGCAAACACCUUUACCACAUAUUUAAUUCUUUCUUGGAUCCUCAUAAUAUAAUCAAUUGCCACUUCUAUAGAAUUGUCUUUAUUGUUACUUUUAUAGUAGUGUCCUUAUUGUGGGCACCUUUUGGAAAUUUGUGAUAAAUUACAUCCAAAACUAAAUAAAAGUAAUUCCAAACAUUGUUAUAGUAUGGCACAAUGCAAACUUCUCUAACUAGAGCAUCCAUUAGUAUUAAACUGAAUAUUCCCUAAAACUAGAAUAUGAGAACUUAUGUGGUGAUAUUUCAUUAGAGUUCUUCUUAGUUCACCUACAUAGUAAUUGAGAAAAAAUUAUUAGCUUCUACCAAAGAAAUAGACAGAUAAACAAUUUCUCACUAGUAAUAUUUAACACAAAUAAAGAUUUCGAUUGCAUCCCUAAUCCCAACUAAGAAUAUCUUUAUAAUUUGAGUAAAACAUAUAUCACUUGGGAAACCAUACAGUUAUAAACAUGAAAUAUAAUAUGAUUAUUACAAACUUACCAUCAUAGUUGUGUUUUGCUUUUGCACUAUAGCCUUAGCAUGUAUAACCACAAUUCUUAGCUCUUCUUCCUCCAAGACAUUUUCUUCAACAAAAUUAUUAUUAGAUAAAUUAUUCAUCAUUACUUCUAACAUCACUAGUGAUAAAUAUAAUAUUCUCUUGCAAAUCAUAUCCAAACAAAUUUGCUAGAUUAUAUGGUUUUAACUUUCCCCCCAAAUCCGAUUUAUUAUUUUCCACCGUGCUAUGUUGUGCAUUUUUAAUGAGAAUAAGUGUUUGCCUAUGCUUAUAAAAAGUAGAUUUGGUGAAAAAAUAACCUUUUGCUGCCCUUGUUGCAACACAUGAUAGAUAACGAUAAUUUUUCUUUCCUUUUUGCUUUAGUUUGGUAUGAACUAUUGAGAUGUGUCAUCUUCUGGCUAAUCUAGUGAUUUCAAUCCCCACACAAGUAUUGCAACCAACAUUACAAGGCAGACACAUUUUUCCAAAAUUUGUGAAACUUAAAAAUACACAAUUAUCACAUAUCUUUUAGUGUUUUUAAUGUUGUCAGCCUCGUGAUUUUUUGCUACUUUCUUUCAAAAACAUAAUAUUGUUACAAAUAUUAUUUUUGAGGUAUUUUUCAAGUCCUCACAUAGCAAAUUCAUGAUGGAGGUAGAAGAGAUAGAUUGCCCAAUCUGUGAUGCUUUUUGGGAUUGGGCUCAUAAGUAACAUUUGAUAAACAUAGAAUAUAGGAAAGUUAAGACUUUUUACUUGUUUUUAUUGAUAGAAGUUUCUUUAUUUUGGUAUCAUGCUUACUUUAGCAAAAAUCUUUAACUCUUUGAGUUAAGUAAGGAUAAUUGCUCUUCUCUAAAGCUAUGAAGGUUUUAGUGAAGAUCCGGCUCAUAUCCUUAUGCAUCCAAUGUGCCAAUUAUGUUUUUAAGUGAUUUUUUAUUUGGUUUUGGAAAUCUUUUGUUUACAAUUCUUAUAUGCACUACUAUUUUGUGUUGUUAGAAUUUACCAUUGCAUCCACAAUAACAUUAAUAUGUCUUCAAUUGACCUUGACAUGAUACAAGGUAGAUGAGUAUUCAAGGAUACCCUGUGAUUUGCAAAUAAUUUUGGACUUGGAAGAUGGUUGAGGUUGGGAUUGGUGGAAUAGAUGGCAUGCUAUUGUUUUACAUUAUAACAAGGUUCACCCCACCAUGGUGCUAUUUGGCCUAUAAAGAAAUUAGAGUGAUAUUUUUAAUUAUACAUUUUUUAAGAUAGUUAUGUUUUGGAUUAUUAGGGUAUAAGUUGUGAUUUGACGUUUGGAAGAAACUCUAUAACCUAGAAGUAAUUGAAGAGUCAAAAUAGUCCAAUGAUGCAACUAUGGAGAUAAAAAGUCUUUUUAGCGAGACCAUAAUAUUGGAUAUGGUAACAAAUAAAUUUGAUUUUGGAGAAAGUGAAGUAAAAGUUUUUAGUGCACAUAGUUAUAAAAGCAUAAUUAGCUAAAAUUAAUACAAGUUUGUUACUCAAUUUAUAUAUAUUUUUUACAUUUGAACCUCCCACUUGUGAACUAGAGUUUGUAUAGUAGGGUUUAGUGGGCGGCGAGAUUGUAGAGGUGCUAGGUUUUGUAUUUGCUCAUCAUUCUAGUUGAAUUGACGAGCUGAGAUAAGGUAAGCAAUGGGUGAAAAUACACAAAGUGAAUCCCUUUUUUUUUUUCCUCAAAUAUUGAUAACCCUAGCAAAAUUGAAUGGACCAUUUAGCAAGGGAUUGUAUAAAUAAAUUAUGAGUGUUUGUUUGGCUAAAGUGUUGCCAAACUUCCAUAACAAGAUUGAGAGUAAUGGAUUUUUUAAAGAGGAUCAUUUCAAGCUCAACAUUUUGAUAUGGAUGAGUAUUAGAGUAAAAACAGGAGAUGCAAUUCAAUUGACAAAGACACUCAAAAAUCUCAAUCGUCAAAGUAGGUAUGCCUUAAAAAGCAUGCCCAAAAUAAAAGCCCUCCACGAAGACAAUAGUGCCAACCAAUACCCACUUAAAAAUAAAACACACCAAAUCAAGGAUUAUGAGAGUAGCAACCAAGGUUUGCAACACCAAUUUUCAAUGUUAAAAAGUACUCUAAGCGUUUACUAGAUUUUUUAUUAACUUUAUUUGGCAAAAAUCUACUUUAUGAGUUAUUGUAAAUCUUUCCUAAUUACAAAAGAGGAUACUUCAAAUGUGAAAGGUAAGUGGAGCAGAGAACUAAGCUAAUUGAGCAAGUUUAUGAGUGCAAAUUGGAUAAUCAUUUCAUUUUGUGUUUAUAAGUUCAAGAUAAAAGACAUCUUCAUUGUAUUGUGAUAUUAACUUAAAAAAUCAAUAGUUGCUAAAAUAGAGCAAAUAAAAGAGUUUAUAAAAUACUUGUAUGACUACAGUGUUGUGGAUCUCCUUGCAUUUAAGUCAAAUAUAAGGUUAGCAUUGAUAGAUCUUGAAUUUUUUAAGGUACAAACCAUAUUAGUUUCAAUGGAAAAAACCUCAUAAUUUUCAAUAUAGCUUUUGCAAUAUCUUCAAAUAGCAAGGAUAAAAAAUUUUUAAAAAUGGCAAUGAGUUAGAACUACAAUAAUUAAGAAAGUUUAUAAUGGCACACUCAUUUGAAAGUAUAAAGCCCUACGAGUGAGGAUAAUUUCACUCAUAGAUAAGGAUUUACUUCCCAUAUAAAGGUUUUUUUCACAUGUGAAGUAAAUCUUUUUUAGGAUGGCAUUCUAAAAUUAUACUCAACAUUAAAGAUAAAGGUAUGCACUAAUUUUAAAUUUUAAGUUCAGGAGAUGUAUUGGCAUAAGUGCAUAAAGGCCAUUGUCAUUAGCAAGGAUAAUGAAAAAAUUAUUAAAGUGGUAUUCUUUUCAAAAUAAUUUUGUAGUUUUUAAUUUUUAUUUAUGUAGCUCUAGACUAAAUCAUAUGGCAACGAACGUGAGGAGCAACCCCCAUACCUUACUAAACAGGAUUGAUGAAGAAAUUGAGUGUAAGAUUAUAACCAAGAAGAAAAAGGUAAAUUUCAUAGUAAAGCUUAAUUGUAUAUAUGGACUAAUAUUUUCUGGCACUAUUUACAAAUAGAAGAACACUGAAAGUGCUUCCUUAAAUAUUUUUUAUUAAAAUGUGGAUAAUAUUAUAAAAAUAAUUUAUUGUUUUGCAACAAUCUUCACUAAACAUUGUUUUUUUUAUGCUUGUGUGUAUUAAUUAUAACUAACUUGUAUGACUUUCUAACUAUUAUCCACAAUAGUAAAAGCUCAGCCUAUGGCUAUAAAUAUUUAUAAAGAGGUGUGUUAAUUCUUAUGCUUGUAUAUAUUAUAUAAUAUAACUUUAUUUAUUUAUUUAGUUAAUAUUGGCAAAAUUGCAAAACAACAAAAAAGUCCAGCUAAAUAAUAAGACUACUCUUUCUGUGUAUGAGGCAAAAGAAGUGGAAUACACUAUAAAAGCACAAAAAGAAUCAAUAACUAUUAAUAAAGUAAUAUAAUAACAAAUCAAUUUAAGUAGUUUUUUUUUUCACUCAAAUUUAGCAAAUACUUGCAAGAAUUUUCUAAGCUUAACAUAGAAAUUCUAAAAAAAUUAAUGGAAUCGCUCCUUGAAUUUAAGUUUCAUGAAGUAAUUCUAUAAGAAUGAAAACCAUAUUUACCAGUUGCUAAAUGCUUGCAAAAUUAAAACUGAACAAACCUUAAAGGACAUUGUUGAGCAGAGUGUAAAGUUUGGACAAUUGAUUAUAUCUAAAGAGGCCUGGUUCAUAAAUACUUGGGACUAUACCACUAUAACAUUAAAAAAUUAAAAUGUAAUUAAAACCAUAUCUAUAAAUAUGGUUCUAUAUAUAAAAAAUUGCUACGCCUUGCAUGUAGCAACGCUUGGUUUGCUUAAUAGUAGUUUUAUUAUUACUUAUUAAUCUAAUUGAUCAAAUAAAGUUUAUAAUUAUAAGCAUGUUUGUAAUUUAUAAACACAAGAUUAAUCUUAUUGCAUAUCAACCAUUAGAUGAUAGAAUAAAAAAGAAUAUACUAGAAAGGGUUUAGGAAAGUUUAUAAAUUAUAAACAUGUUUAUAAAUUAUAAAUACCAGAUUAAUCUAAAUGAAUACCAACCGUUAGAUGGUAGAAUAUCCUAGAAUAUCCAAGCUUAUUCUAGGUAUAUUCACUACCAUCCUAUAGGUUUGCUUAAGCAAACCAAAAAUUUAUAUGCAACACUAUAUCUGAAUUGUGAAUAAAAUUAUGUGAACAAAAUUGGCAAACAUCAGUUUCAAAACUAUAUAGGUAUCAGUAAACUAUAUAGAAAAGCAUAUGUACAUUUAUUCUCAAAAUACAACUCAAUCAUAUUCAAAACUAUACAAAAAACCAUUCAUUAUGAUUGCCAAAUAGAGCAUAAAUCAUGAUGAAAACUAUGUAUGGUUGUAGUCCCAAAACCAAUGCAUUAACAAUUUAGAAACCAAUCAUGAAACCAUUAAAGUCACAUAUGGUUUAACACAACCAUCUUGUUUUGGUACUAAUUAUAGUAAAAAACCAUAUUGAUGAGCGUGUUGUGGUUGUAAUGCUGGGCAACACUCCGGGUUUUGGNNNNNNNNNNNNNNNNNNNNNNNNNNNNNNNNNNNNNNNNNNNNNNNNNNNNNNNNNNNNNNNNNNNNNNNNNNNNNNNNNNNNNNNNNNNNNNNNNNNNNNNNNNNUUCCAUCGGCAGUGGAUCGCCAAAAACUCCUGCAAAAGCUGAGGCUUCUAGGACAGCAAAAAUUGCCGAGGUGAGCAAUGAUAGUGGAGCAGAGGAUUUAUAUGAUUCGGGAGUAGAAAGUGGAGCAAUCGAUGGUGGGGAAGAAGAGGUAAACAAGAUCAUGACUGGAGGAGGAAACGAUGCCGAGGUGGAAAGAACAACAGUGGUGGAGAGCUCCAUUGAGACUGUCAGGAAACAUGGCGAGGCUGUUUCUAGAGCCUUAGCUGGACUUUCAAUCAGAGGUAGUGCCUUGACCCACGGUAAUCCCGUUAAGAUGGAAGCUGGUUGUGGUUCCGUGAAAGCUGAAGCUUCGGUUUCGAUCGCAGCUGGAUGUGAUCCUACGAAAGUAGAUGGCUUGGUGAAGAUGGAAGCUGGUUGUUUUAGAUGCAGAGAGGUGGUGGCUUCUCCAAGAGACUGAAGUUGCCGGGUACUCGACGUCCAGGGGAUGACGGAUUCGUGUUGGCGAGUUCGUGUCCUUCAAUUUUCCCAAGCCUGAAGCCGAAAGUAAGAAGAAGUUCUUUGAGCACAAGAAGGUUCGGCCGAAAGCGAGCUCCGACAUUGUAAGGUUCUUGACAAAAGCUUCAGGAGAGGUACGUUUCACUUGACUUGUUUCUUCGUUUUAAUUCUAACCAUUUGACAGAUAGAACGGCUUCCAGCCGACUGGGCCAAGUGUUUGAUACCUUUGGGAAGUGCAAAUGGUACCAGAGGCUCUUUCUCUUAUGAGCAGAUUACGGCAAGCUUGUGAACAUCCUUUUCUUGUUCUGAGGUAGAAAAUGCAUCCUCUUAUGUCUGAAGUUCCUGACGUUUUCUUCGUCACGCAGCCGUGGCGAUACUGAAGACUUUGCGGACCUGGGAAAGCUGGCUAGACGUUUCUUGGACAAGAAUUCCUCCCUGGUGCCUUCGACGGCGUAUGUCAAAGAGGUGGUGGAUGAUAUUCGUAAAGGAGAAAGUGCUAAUUUGUUUGGAGAUGCACGCAGUUCUUACACCAUGCGCUCAUCGACUGUGCCGUGAGUGCCUAUUUAAUAGCUGGCGUACUAGCGCCGGAGGUCCCUGUCCAAUAUCCGAGGUAACAUAUUGUUUUUUUUUCUCGAGCUCUUUUCCAUAUCCAUAGCUAUCAUGCAGGCGUUCCUGUACGAAAUAGGAACUCAUAACCUCCAAACGUUAAGUGAGGCCGGGUCGAAAAGCGUUGUUUUAAGUCAGUGGACAGCGUUUCUCGACUUGUUAGAGAUACCAUUGAAAAGGUACGAGCGUCUUUCCUUUUGGUGCUUUCUCUUUGUUUGUGUUUCUAACAAUGCACUGCCAGGAAGAACUUCUGUUUCGUCCGCUUGGACGGAACACUAUCGCAGCGUCAGCGAGAACAAGUGCUCAAAAACUUCAGCAAUAUUCCAGCCGUGGCCGUAAGCUUUUUGUGUUGCUUACCUCCAAGAAACCACUCUAUUUUGUGGACAGGUCAUGCUCAUGCUUUUCUCAUGGUAUGCGCUAUAGUUUUCUUUCUUAGCCAUCUUCCGAGUCGAGCAUCGGUCAGACGAAGAACGUAUCGAUCAAGCGAUUCAUCGUCAAAGUAAGCGCCACUUGAAACUCUCUUUGACGUUUCUCAUGUCUCUAGAGCAGGACUCGGUGGAGGAGAGAAUGCAACAGGUCCAAGCGAGGAAGCAAGGAUUGAUCGCGAGGGCUCUCACAGACGAAGAGGUGCGAAGCGCUCGAAUCGAGGAGCUCAAAAUGCUAUUUAGAUGAGAAGAACUGGAGUCCUUAUCAUUUUUUUAACUUAUAUCUAGUUAAAUAGGGGAAUAUGCUUCUAGCAUCGGCGCGUAUAUUCUUCGGAUAGUUCAAUGAAUGAAUGUGUUAUAUGCGGACAGCGAAGGAGCAGGCGAUCGCGUCGCAAGCGCGUUUUGCAUCGGCGACGAGCAAGGUAUGCAUGCUAGGAUCGCCUCGAGAAGCAGCAGCAGCGCCAGCGCCGGCGCCGCGCCGCGAUUUGAGCCGGAGUAGCCGAUCUAGAUUCAUGCAAGCAUCCGAUCUCUAGGAAAUUGAGCUGAAAGCUGAGGCUUUGUAGGCGAUCGCGUUGAUUCCUCUCGUCUCCGCGGCCGGGGCGGCUAGAAAGCCGGGGCACAUUCUAGAGUUUCGGGGUUUCUGGGGCGAUCAGUCAUGUAUCGGGCAGUGAUUCUCUCACAGGGAGCUGGAAGUCAGCCAUGACGUGGAAUCCGCAACAAGUUCCUCCCAGCUUGUCCGCCUUGACUGCCACUACUCAGGCCGAGGAUGAACUGGGCGUGGAUGUGUCGUCUCCCAGCGGCGAUUUGCUACUCCAUUUUCUCGAGCGGUGGGGGCGACGAGCAGCUGAGGAGCAAUAUUAACUCUUGACCUUGUAGAUCGGAAUUCUUCACUUUUUUCACAGCUGUGACUCACUCACUCUAAGAGAUUCACAGUGAGCACCGCAACGAUCGCUACAUCGCUCGCAAGAAACACCUCUAUUUGUACAAACAGACAAACGUGGAGCACGUAAAGUACUUGUGCCUUUGGCCUAAAACGGGCAUCUUAAAGAUGCGACACGCCCGAGAAGAACAUCGUCUUUUCUCUUGUACGGCGUUGAUCCAGGCGUACGGGAAUAGAGGGCUCCUCUGCCGAUCUUUGAUGGGAUCCGGGCGAUCUUGUCACCGACGUCUUGAAAGAUCUUAGAUUCUAUCCGCAAUCGCCCAGUCAAUGCGAUCCUGGCGAUGGGUGCUCCAUAUCAUUCUAUUCCCGCCCGGACGUGAUCUCCAGGAUUUGCGAAGAAGAAGCUCGUCGAUCAGAUGGCGCGCAAUUGAUUGGGGCUUCCCGCUACAUUUUCCCGCGCUACUUCUCCAUUCUAGGGUUCUUUCUUGGAGGCGACGUAGGUUUUCUAUUGCCCGCGUGGUCGAGGAGACGGCGCUGGGGGGCGGCCUUGAUCGGCGUUCUGGAGCUGCACAGGUAAUGGGGCUCGACACUCCGGGUUUUAGAAAUAGGAAGAGGCUCCAGCUUAAGGCUCCGACGAGCAGUGCCAAGGCGAGGAGCCCCAGCCAGCGUUGGUAAAUCGUGGACGACAGGGAGCUCUAGAUGUACGGUGACAACAAAGGUCCCUGCGGCAAAAUGUUCCAUCGGCUGUGGAUCGCCAAAAACUCCCGCAAAAGCUGAGGCUUCUAGGACAGCAAAAAUUCCCGAGGUGAUUGUUGAUAGUGGAGCAGAGGAUUUAGAUGAUUCGGGAGUAGAAAGUGGAGCAAUCGAUGGUGGGGAAGAAGAGGUAAACAAGAUUAAGACUGGAGGAGGAAACGAUGCCGAGGUGGAAAGAACAACAGUGGUCGAGAGCUCCAUUGAGACUGUCUGGAAACAUGGCGAGGCUGUUUCUAGCGCCUUAGCUGGACUUUCAAUCAGAGGUAGUGCCUUGACCCACGGUAAUCCCGUUAAGAUGGAAGCUGGUUGUGGUUCCGUGAAAGCUGAAGCUUCGGUUUCGAUCGCAGCUGGAUGUGAUCCUAUGAAAGUAGAUGGCUUGGUGAAGAUGGAAGCUGGUUUUGAGUCUGCAAGAGUCGAAGCUCCGGUUGGCUCGCUGAAGAUGGAACCUGGUUAUGAUACUGUGAAAGUUGAAACUCCAUUCGGGGGUGGUACAGCUGCCCAUUUGUCUGAAGCGAAGGUGGUUCCAAUAGAAAAUGACACGGCUAAAGCUGCAGAGAAGCAACUGGUUGUUUUAGAUGCAGAGAGGUGGUGGCUUCUCCAAGAGACUGAAGUUGCCGGGUACUCGACGUCCAGGGGAUGCUGGAUUCGUGUUGGCGAGUUCGUGGCCUUCAAUUUUCCCAAGCCUGAAGCCGAAAGUAAGAAGAAGUUCUUUAAGCACAAGGGGUUCGGCCGAAAGCGAGCUCCGACAUUGUAAGGUUCUUGACAAAAGCUUCAGGAGAGGUACGUUUCACUUGACUUGUUUCUUCGUUUUACUUCUAACCAUUUGCUCACAGAUAGGACGGCUUCCAGCCGACUGGUCCAAGUGUUUGAUACCUUUGGGAAGUGCAAAAUGGCACCAGAGGCUCUUUCUCUUAUGAGCAGCAUAGUUCUCCAUUUGAGGUAGAGUUUCUGUGUUAACCAGAGACGUUACGUAUAUGAUGUGCUUGCAGAGUUUAUAUCAACAAGUCAGAAGCCUUACGAGGAGGGGGUUGAGCGCGGAUUGAAGCUUCUGCAAGCUAUCUUGAAGCCGUUAAUGCUUCGAAGAACAAAACAAAAGAUUCACAAGUUGGAUUCACAGACCAAUUCUUGUUCUCCAACCGGCUCAAUGUCAGGUUAUUGAAUGCAAACUAUCUGAGCCUGAACGUGAUUUUUAUGAUGCCCUUUACCACAGAUCUAAGGCAUGCUUUCGGAUUGAACUUCUUUUCUCUUUUUUCUGAACACGUUUUUGCGUUUGUGAUCAGGUAAAAUUCGAUCAGUUCGUUGGACAAGGUAAAGUUCUCCAUAACUAUGCGUCGAUCCUCGAACUGCUACUUCGAUUACGGCAAGCUUGUGAUCAUCCUUUUGUUGUUCUGAGGUAGAACAUGCAUCCUCUUAUGUCUGAAGUUCCUGACGUUUUCUUCGUCACGCAGCCGCGGCGAUACUGAAGACUUUGCGGACCUUGGAAAGCUGGCUAGACGUUUCUUGGACCCAAAGUCCAGGCUCUGCUGCACCACCUCCAGACGUUAAGUGAGGCCGGGUCGAAAAGCGUUGUUUUUAGUCAGUGGACAGCGUUUCUCGACUUGUUAGAGAUACCAUUGAAAAGGUACGAGCGUCUUUCCUUUUGGCGCUUUCUCUUUGUUUGUGUUUCUAACAAUGCACUGCCAGGACGAACUUCUGUUUCGUCCGCUUGGACGGAACACUAUCGCAGCGCUCAAAAACUUCAGCAAUAUUCCAGCCGUGGCUGUAAGCUUUUUGUAUUGCUUACCUCCAAGAAACCACUCUAUUUUGUGGACAGGUCAUGCUCAUGCUUUUCUCAUGGUACGCGCUAUAGUUUUCUUUUUUAGCCAUCUUCGGAGUCGAGAAUGUGGACGAUCGAGCAUCGGUCAGACGAAGAACGUAUCGAUCAAGCGAUUCAUCGUCAAAGUAAGCGCGAGUUGAAACUCUCUUUGACGUUUCUCAUGUCUCUAGAGCAGGACUCGGUGGAGGAGAGAAUGCAACAGGUCCAAGCGAGGAAGCAGCGAUUGAUCGCGAGGGCUCUCACAGACGAAGAGGUGCGAAGCGCUCGAAUCGAGGAGGUCAAAAUGCUAUUUAGAUGAGAAGAACUGGAGUCCUUAGCAUUUUUUUAACUUGUAUCAGUCUACAUAGUUAAAGAGGGGAAUAUGCUUCUAGCAUCGGCAGAGGAUGGCUAGGUUACAAGCAUUUCUAGGUUUCUUCGCGGCUAUGGCGGACAGCGAAGGAGCAGGCGAUCGCGUCGCAUGCGCGUUUGAUUCCGGCAGCAUCGGCGACGAGCAAGGUAUGCAUGCUAGGAUCGCCUCGAGAAGCAGCAGCAGCGCCAGAGCCAGAGUAGCCGAUCUAGAUUCAUGCAAGCAUAUGAUCUCUAGGAAAUUGAGCUGAACGCUGAGGCUUUGCAGGCGAUCGCGUCGAUUCCUCUCGUCUCCGCGGCCGGGUGGCUAGAAAGCCGGGGCGCAUUCUAGAGUUUCGGGGUUUCUGGGGCGAUCAGUCAUGUAGCGGGCAGUGAUUCUCUCACAGGGAGCUGGAAGUCAGCCAUGACGUGGAAUCCGCCACAAGUUCCUCCCAGCUUGUCCGCCUUGACUGCCACUACUCAGGCCGAGGAUGAACUGGGCGUGGAUGUGUCGUCUCCCAGCGGCGAUUUGCUACUCCAUUUUCUCAAGAGCUGUGAGCAGCUGAGGAGCAGUCGCAGCUACAGGACCCAGCAGUCGCAGGUCACGGUCCCUGCCACAGCUUUGCUCCCUCUGGAGGACCUGGAGGAGAAGGUCCUCCUCCACGACCACUCUACGUCCCAGCAAUAAGAUUUGGUGGGUGGUCACCUCACUUCCAGCAGCACCAAGACCCACUUUUCCCUUCGGAUCCAUUCUUGACUCCGUCGAACCACUGAUUUCUACGCUCGUUUGCUCCUCUUCCAGUCGAGAUCCGCCAGUGCCGUAUCCUUUUCCAAAUGCUCCGACUUUCCAGCCUGCUGAUAAUGUGGUUCAUCCGCCGCAUUCCUCUGGGGAGCUUAAAGCUCGUCCUGGCCUUCACUUGGAGUCUCCGGUGUUUGGACCCAGCGCAGCUGAGACCUCGGACUCCAAACGCGCCCCAGAGCAGCCGAGGAGAUCGGUUACACCUGCGAAGGAUGACAAGCAACAAUUCCACGGCAAUGGUUCCGAGCUCCUUCAGUUGUUACAGGGUGGUCCUGGUCGUGUUAAGCCCACAGCCUCCACAAAGGUGGAUGCUACACAGGACAGUGGGGAUUCUGGAGAGCCAUCAAAGAAAGGAAGUCCAUCUGCUGUUCACGGUCCCAUAGGACCGCCGAGGCGUCAUGUCGUUUCUCCUCCGCAGAGUCCAAAUGACCUCCUUGGACGUUUGUGGGCUGCUCUUCCGUCGUCAAGCCACACUUUGUUUGACGGAGAAAGCGAACGCAAGCCGCCAGCCCGGAGCUUUGGCGUUGAAGUGAACGAGAUGUCCCGGGAAGUCGAUGGAGGUGGAGCUGCUGGUUUCGCACUUUUGAAGCGAAGAGGAUCGGAGCCUGCCGCCUCGCACUACCUUUAAACGGCUACGACUAUAACGACUCUAAGACAAAUGAUAAGCCGAGGACAAACUCGGCAUCCGGAAGACUACAGGACUAUCGUGGGAGAUACGUAAAUGGAGAGGCCGAAUUUGAGCCCGGAGGCGAUGACUUUAGAGGUGCGGGAAGGCGUCGAGGUACCGGUCGUGCAGACGCCAGACGCGGUGGUCGGGGUGCUGUUGGCCAGUGGAUUGCGGUAAGUGAGAGGCAUAAAGAUGCUGAGCCAAGUGACAUCACCUCCUGCGGUAUCUCUGAUGGAAGGGACGAGUCGCUUAAAUCUUGAAACGGGACUUAGUCGAAUGCUCGGAGAAAACAUCAACAGGAAUGGAGGAUAAAACAGGCCGACUCAAAGGCAGCAUUUCCAGCGGAGGAAAAACCGGACUACAAGGUUGCAAAGGCACGGUCUUUGGCAUCUCAACUUGAACGUCCAGGCUUGCCAUCGGGAAGUACGCAAAACUCUUCCGUUGGCGCGGCUUUUGAGGAGUCCAAACAGAGGCUCCAUAAUCUAGAUGCUUUGGAAGGAGAGGGCGUGACGACCUCUCUAGAUCUCGAGGAGCUACAAAUUGACGGUCACCGUCGUGAGGGUAAAGCUCCACAGUUUUACAAGGUUUGUGCUUGCUUUUUCUCUUUCUUUAUUUUCAUGUGUUUGUAUCUCUGGUUACAGCCGAAGGAGAACCGUUUCAGGACCUCUGAAGAAGAACUAAAGGUAUGCAUAUGCAUAUUCUUAAUAUUGUUAUGUUUUCCAUGUUUUACCAUUUACUCUAUACACCAGAUUUUAAAAUACUCAAAACCACGAGAGUAAAGUAAUAUCCUGAGAAUACGAUUUGUAAGAAAAACAGAAACUGUCUCUUCUCCAAACGCUGCUGACGGCUUGGAAAUCUCUGUUUUUGUUUUUUGAGUGAUGCAAAAUAGUGUAGCAUUUGCGCAGAUCGAGAACCCAAUCGAUGUCCACUGAAGGAGCAAGGUUUAAUCCCAGAAUGUUAUAUGGACAUCCGGCCGCUCCUCAAGCCAUGGUGGAACUUUCGUACCUUUUUCGCAGCAUAGGACUUUGAGCCUUGGAAAUAAGCCAAGGCCGUGAUUGUCUGAACUCAAUUGGGGCCACACUACAUCAUCAUGAUCAUAGAGCCUAAGCAUCUCCAAUCCUGGAAGGGAUGCAAUGGAUGAUGGAAUAUUUUCGAUCCUAACCAAGGUUACAUAUUCUAGAGCAGUCAUCUGGUCUGUUGGCCCAAAGAAAUCAUUGGGGAGCUGCCUCAUACAGCCCUUCCGCAAAAAUAAUGUGAAUUGUUUCACCUUCAGCUGUGAUCUCUCGGUUGGCAUCAAGAGUCUCCUCGUGUAACCUUCUACUCUCAGUUCAAAAAGGUCAUUGGGGAGUUGUGUCACAAAGAGAGGCAAAUGCUCCCAUGUAUUAUCAGGAGCCAGAUUGAAUGUUAAGGUCUUCAGGUUUGGAAGACUUGCUGCCAAAUCAUCCUUGAACUCCGACUGUGCAAUGUGCAGAUUUUCAAGCUCCAGCCAUUCGAGGCAUGGGAACAAUCCAUCCAGACUGAAGAACCGGAUACCACUGCAGUCUAGGUGAAGUUCUCGUAGCCGUUGAAAGACCUUUAGCCAAGACAGGUCUUUCAUUGUCUCAUUGUUUGUGAUGGAUAAAGCUUGUAGCUGUGGCCAUUCAAGGGUUUCGGCAUUGUUUUCACCGUCUUGUACCCCGUCGAUUGAAAAGUGCUGAAGCUGGUUGGAAUUCUUAAACAUUCGCUUCCAGUCAAGUUUGAUAGUCGAUUCCACAUAAAUGUGACAUCGUCUUAGAUUGACAAGUUGCCACGGGCCUGUGAAAUCGCCAAAGUCCAUGCUCUUUGCACGCAACACCAGUGUCUCAAUGUCCACUAGUGCACCAAGGCUGUGAGGUAUUUUUAUUGUUGCAUUGUAGAGUUUUAGCUCUAAAUGUCUUAGCUUGUGUAGGCUUGAAAUUCCACUCAAACCUAUGACCACAGCUAACUCCUUACAAGAUUCAAGCUCCAGCUCUUCCAAGUUGAAUAAUUGGGGCAGUAAUGCAAAGUUGAAUUUUCUGAUCUUCUUGCAUUUAAAAACCUUCAGUGAUGUCAAGCUGAAGAGCGCAUCUGGCAAUUGAGGCGCAUCAUCGAAGGAUCGAACGUCAAGCACUUGAAGGUUUCUCAGCUUGGAUAUGCUAUCUGGAAUAAAACGGACCAAAUUAUAGCAUCUAUUCAAGCUCAAUACCUUGACAUUUUGGAUGUGAUCUAUAAUAAGACUGACAUCCACACCAGAAAUUCCACGACAUCCAUCGAGAAGCAAGACAUCUCGCACAUGAAUGUCAGACAAAAGGCUGCUUGUAACCUUCUUUCCAAUGAAUGAAACUUUAGAAAAUGUUGGAGAAAUCCCAGGUGGACAAUCAUAGCCAAACAGGCAUCCCUUCUCGUGCUCUUCCUGGGGUGGGUACUUCCCUUUCAAGAUUCUUAUGCACAGCUUGCGUACCAUAUCGUGCACAGUUACAUACUUAUCAGUUGUCUUCACUAGGCAUCUUCGUUCCAGUUCACUAACAAUCUGCAGAGGCGAGAGUUCUGACCCAACCGCUAUCCAACAUUUUCUCAGAUCAUCAAACUCGAUUUGCUCAUCUUCUGGAAACGCAGCCACAUAGAGAAAGCACUCUUGCAGCUUUUCAUCCUUAUUAAAGCGUCCCAGCUCGUCAUAGCUAAACUUCAAGCGCUGGAACAUCCGCUUCUCAAUGUCCCCGUCAUUCAACAAAUGCAUCUUCUCAUAGCGUUCUUCCCACACCUGCGGCCCGUCAUUCCUGUAGUCAGCCAUGGCACUGCCAAUCACUUCAAGAGCUAAAGGGAGCCCCUCACAUUUGCUAGCUAUUCUCUCGGCAACUUUCACAAUGUCCGGAUCACUAGGUAGUGAAUCAUAAAAGGCAAACUUCCAAAACAUCUUUUUGCUCUCGUCCUCUGAUAGCUCAUGCACAGGAAGUUCCUUUGCACCCAGCAUGCUCAAAAUGCCUUUCUUUCUGCUUGUUACCAGCACCCGGCUGUAAGAGGACGGCCCUGCUGUAAAAUCCAGUCCCUUGGCCAAGCUCAUUUCCCACACAUCAUCCAGUAUCAACAAGACAUGGUUGCCACGAGCAACAUUUUGUGCCAUCUGUUGCACAUGCUCAAUGGUGCCUGCAUUUUGGGCCCUCUCCUUCAUGUCGCCCCAUUCAAGAGCGUUGAGGAGCUGGGCCCUGAGAUCAUCCUCCGAUGCAUCUUUCUUGACAGUAAUCCACACAAUGUUGUCAUGGAAAUGCUGCCGGACCCUCUCGUCAUUGUGCACGAAGCUUGCAAGGGUGGUCUUGCCACACCCUCCCAUUCCCAGGAGUCCAAACCAUUUCCCCGGGGCUUGUGGAUCCAGGAGGGCAUUCACCACCUCAUCCACCUGCUCCCCAUGGCGGCCAAACAUGUCGUUGGCCUCGGGAACACCACGCCGUUCAUACUUUACGAGACCUCUGUCUUGUGGACAACUCCGUACGGAAAAGCUGGUGCUCCGCUGUAUCGCUCUCAACUCUUCUCGCUCGUACCUUUCAAUGUGCGGGAGGAGAUCGUUCUCGCAAGUGCGUACCAGCUCCGAAAUCGCGCCAGAUCGCUUCUCCCUGUGCGAAAGAUCCAUCUUUUAGCUUCAUUGCUUCAAACAUGAAUUCGAAUAAGCCUUACUGUAAUCCAAGCAGCGCUUGCGCCUUCUCAGUCCAUUCAGUCAGUUCAGUCAGCCACGCCUCAGCCUCACCAGAGUAGCGGAAAUCUGGAUUCUUGUGCUUGGGAGCAUUAAACUUGUCAAGCGUGGCCUGGAUUCUGGAUUGCCUCUUCUGUAGGUCCUCAAUGUGGACAUUCAGCUCAUGCUCGUGACCUUGGAUGUGCGACAGGAGAUCGUCGUAGGCACUUAAGGACUUCGCGAUGUCGUUACUCCGCUUGUACCUAUAGGAAGUGGAGAAGUUCAACCAGCUGCCUGCCAUUUCUACACACACACACACACAAAAGAUAAAAUGCUACUGUACCCACCGCUUUAUGGGGCUCCAGAUCCUGUUGUGGCGUGAUCCCAAGAGUGCUUGUGCCGUGGUGUUCCAUUUCCUGACACGCUCCAAGCAUUUCUCGGCCGCUUCAGAGAACGUGAAGCCAGGAUUCUGCUGCUUGUGAACACUGAAAGCUUCGAUCUUGUCCUGGAUGUGGGGCGCCUUGUUCUCCAGCGUGUCAAUGUUGGCAUUGCAGUCCCAUAUCUUCUUAGCAGGGCCCAGAGCCAAGCCACACAAGACGCCUGUCAAGGAGCCCACAACCUCCAUGCUUGUAGCCCUACAAGUAAAGGUCGUCUCCCAGAACUCUUGGCCUUGGUACCCCCUCUUAAAAUGAACAGUAAUUUUCAGAGAGGUAUAAGCUGUUACAAGUGACUUCAGUUUAAUUAGAGUUGAUUGCUUGCAGUAGAGCGAGUAGUAGAGGGCCUCGUGCAGCACCCUCCCUCUUGCAAUGCCAGCUGUGGCUCUCUCUCUCUCUCUCUCUCUCAUUGCUCCGACAUUGUAAGUUUCUCCAGGAGAGGUAACUUUUGUCGCUUUGUUUUAGUUGCACACAGAUAGGACGCCUUCCAGCUGACUGGGCCACGUGUUUGAUUGCUUUGGGUCAGGAAAGCGUACUCUGGGUCAUUCUUCACUAUUUUUGAGACUAGAAAUGUAUAUGGUUUUACUUUUGAACUAGGAUAGUUUAUAUGUUUUAAUAUAGUUAACACUCUGGAACUUGAUUUAUAAUAUUAAGGACAUCAAGAAUUAUUUUAAAAUUGGACUAAAACUUGAUUUUCCUUAUGGAUUUUCAACUACAUAUAAAAGAUGUACAUUCAUGUAAUUUAUUCAUAUGACAAUAUUCUUUUGAUAAGAGCAUAGGUUGUGCUGUUUAACAAACAUAUGAUGUUUUUGACUGGAACUUUUAUGAAAAAAUUCCCACACUUCAAUAAGAAAAUAAACAAAUUUAUAUUGUUUUUAUUUGCUGCAGAAUGUCCUUUUUUAAUUCUAUAUGAAUUGGGAUUGUUGGUUACAACUUCCAUACAUAUAACAUAUAAAUGUUCUAUUGCAAACACCUUUACCACAUAUUUAAUUCUUCCUUGGAUCCUCAUAAUAUAAUCAAUUGCCACUUCUAUAAAAUUGUCUUUAUUGUUACUUCUAUAGUAGUGUCCUUAUUGUGGGCACCUUCUGGAAAUUUGUGAUAAACUACAUCCAAAACUAAAUAAAAGUAAUUCCAAACAUUGUUAUAGUAUGGCACAAUACAAACUUCUCUAACUAGAGCAUCCAUUAGUAAGAUGCAAAUAUGAUUAAACUGAAUAUUCCCUAAAACUAGAAUAUGAGAACCUAUGUGGUGAUAUUUCAUUAGAGUUCUUCUUAGUUCAUCUACAUAGUAACUGAGAAAAAAUUAUUAGCUUCUACCAAAGAAAUAGACAGAUAGACAAUUUCUCACUAGUAGUAUUUAACACAAAUAAAGAUUUCAAUUGCACCCCUAAUCCCAAUUAAGAAUAUCUUUAUAAUUUGAGUAAAAUAUAUAUCACUUGGAAAACCAUAUAGUUAUAAGCAUGAAAUAUAAUAUGAUUAUUACAAACCUACCACCAUAGUUGUGUUUUGCUUUUGCACUAUGAUUUUAGCAUGUAUUGCCACAAUUUUUAAUUCUUCCUCUUUCAUGACAUUUUCUUCAACCAAAUUAUCAUUAGGUAAACUAUUCAUCACUCAUUCCAACAUCACUAAUGACAAAUAUAAUGUUCUCUCACAAAUCAUAUCCAAACCCAUUUGCUAGAUUAUAUGGUUCUGACUUUCCCCCCAAAUCCACUCUAUUAUUUGUCACCGUGCUAACUUAUGCAUUUUUAGUGAGAGUAAGUGUUUGCCUAUGCUUAUAGAAAGUAGAUUUGGUGAAAAAAUAACCUUUUGCUGCCCUUGUUGCAACAUAUGAUAGACAACAAUAAUUUUUCUUUCCUUUUUGAUUUAGUUUGGUAUGAACCAUUGAGAUGUGUCAUUUUCUAGCUAAUCUAGUGAUUCUAAUCCCCAGACAAAUAUUACAAUCAACAUUACAAGGCAAACACAUUCUUGCAAAACUUGUGAAACUUAAAAAUACACGAUUAUCACAUAUUUUUUAGUGUUUUUAAUGUUGUCAGCCUUGUGGUUUUUUGCUGCUUUCUUUCAAAAACAUAAUAUUGUUAUAAAUAUUUUUUUUGAGGUAUUUUUCAAGUCCUUAUUUAGCAAAUUCAUAAUGGAGGUAGAGAUAAAUUGCCCAAUCCGUAAUGCUUUUUGGGAUUGGGCCUAUAAGUAACAUUUGAUAAACAUAGAACAUAGGAAGGUUAAGGCUUUUUACUUGCAUUUAUUGAUAGAAGUUUUUUUCUGCUGCUUGUGAUCACUGAAAGCGUUGAUCUUGGCCUGGAUGUGGUGCGCCUUGUUCUCCAGCGUUUCAAUGUUGGCAUUGCAGUCCCAUAUCUUCUUAGCAGGGCCCAGAGCCAAGCCACACAAGGCGCUUGCCAAGACGCUUGUCAAGGAGCCCACAACCUCCAUGGCUGUAGACCUACAAGUAAAGGUUGUCUCCCUCCCAGAAAGAAGCACAAUAUUAACUCUUGACCUUGUAGAUCGGAAUUCUUCACUUUUUUCACAGCUGUGACUCACUCACUCUAAGAGAUUCACAGUGAGCACCGCAACGAUCGCUACAUCGCUCGCAAGAAACACCUCUAUUUGUACAAACAGACAAACGUGGAGCACGUAAAGUACUUGUGUCUUUGGCCUAAAACGGGCAUCUUAAACGCCAUAGCCAGAAAAUGGACGGCGGAGAUCUUUUGAGCAAGAACCCUAAGCCCCAAUUUCUCUUGGCGAGGCGGCGAGAGAGCGAUGGCGCAGAGAGAUGCGACACGCCCGAGAAGAACAUCGUCUUUUCUCUUGUACGGCGUUGAUCCAGGCGAACGGGAAUAGAGGGCUCCUCUGCCGAUCUUUGAUGGGAUCCGGGCGAUCUUGUCACCGACGUCUUGAAAGAUCUUAGAUUCUAUCCGCAAUCGCCCAGUCAAUGCGAUCCUGGCGAUGGGUGCUCCAUAUCAUUCUAUUCCCGCCCGGACGUGAUCUCCAGGAUUUGCGAAGAAGAAGCUCGUCGAUCAGAUGCGCGAUGCUGGCGCGCAAUUGAUUGGGGCUUCCCGCUACAUUUUCCCGCGCUAUCGUCUCUACUUCUCCAUUCUAGGGUUCUUUCUUGGAGGCGACGUAGGUUUUCUAUUGCCCGCGUGGUCGAGGAGACGGCGCUGGGGGGCGGCCUUGAUCGGCGUUCUGGAGCUACACAGGUAAUGGGGCUCGAAAUAGGAAGAGGCUCCAGCUUAAGGCUCCGACGAGCAGUGCCAAGGCGAGGAGCCCCAGCCAGCGUUACGGUGACAACAAAGGCCCCUGGGGCAAAAUGUUCCAUCGGCAGUGGAUCGCCAAAAACUCCUGCAAAAGCUGAGGCUUCUAGGACAGCAAAAAUUGCCGAGGUGAGCAAUGAUAGUGGAGCAGAGGAUUUAUAUGAUUCGGGAGUAGAAAGUGGAGCAAUCGAUGGUGGGGAAGAAGAGGUAAACAAGAUUAUGACUGGAGGAGGAAACGAUGCCGAGGUGGAAAGAACAACAGUGGUGGAGAGCUCCAUUGAGACUGUCAGGAAACAUGGCGAGGCUGUUUCUAGCGCCUUAGCUGGACUUUCAAUCAGAGGUAGUGCCUUGACCCACGGUAAUCCCGUUAAGAUGAAAGCUGGUUGUGGUUCCGUGAAAGCUGAAGCUUCGGUUUCGAUCGCAGCUGGAUGUGAUCCUAUGAAAGUAGAUGGAUUGGUGAAAAUGGAAGCUGGUUUUGAGUCUGCAAGAGUCGAAGCUCUGGUUGGCUCGGUGAAGAUGGACCCUCGUUAUGAUACUGUGAAACUUGAAACUCCAUUCGGGGGUUGUUUUAGAUGUUGAGAGGUGGUGGCUUCUCCAAGAGACUGAAGUUGCCGGGUACUCGACGUCCAGGGGAUGCCGGAUUCGUGUUGGCGAGUUCAUUUCCUUCAGUUUUCCCAAGCCUGAAGCCGAAAGUAAGAAGAAUUUCUUUGAGCACAAGAAGGUUCGGCCGAAAGUGAGCUCCGAUAUUGUAAGGUUCUUGACAAAAGCUUCAGGAGAGGUACGUUUCACUUGACUUGUUUCUUCGUUUUACUUCUAACCAUUUGCUCACAGAUAGAACGGCUUCCAGCCGACUGCGCCAAGUGUUUGAUACCUUUGGGAAGUGCAAAAUGGCACCAGAGGCUCUUUCUCUUAUGAGCAGCAUAGUUCUCCAUUUGAGGUAGAGUUUUCUGUGUUUACCAGAGACGUUACGUAUAUGAUGUGCUUGCAGAGUUUAUAUCAACAAGUCAGAAGCCUUACGAGGAGGGGGUUGAGCGCGGAUUGAAGCUUCUGCAAGCUAUCUUGAAGCCGGUAAUGCUUCGAAGAACAAAAGAUUCAACUGAUAAAGAAGGAAGGUAAGCAUUUUUUUCUUUGCACCGUGCCUUGUCUUGUAUUCACUCACAAGUUGGAUAAUUCUUGUUCUCCGACCGGCUCAAUGUGAAGUUAUUGAAUGCAAACUAUCUGAGCCUGAACGUGAUUUUUAUGAUGCCCUUUACCACAGAUCUAAGGCAUGAAGAACUUCUCUUUCUUUUAUUUUCUCUUUUUUGUGAACACGUUUUUGCGUUUGUGAUCAGGUAAAAUUCGAUCAGUUCGUUGAACAAGGUAAAGUUCUCCAUAACUAUGCCUCGAUCCUCGAACUGCUACUUCGAUUACGGCAAAGCUUGUGAUCAUCCUUUUCUUGUUCUGAGGUAGAAAAUGCAUCCUCUUAUGUCUGAAGUUCCUGACGUUUUCUUCGUCACGCAGCCGUGGCGAUACUGAAGACUUUGCGGACCUGGGAAAGCUGGCUAGACGUUUCUUGGACAAGAAUUCCUCCCAGGUGCCUUCGACGGCGUAUGUCAAAGAGGUGGUGGAUGAUAUUCGUAAAGGAGAAAGUGCUGAGUGCCCAAUUUGUUUGGAGAUGCACGCAGUUCUUACACCAUGCGCUCAUCGAAUGUGCCGUGAGUGCCUAUUGAAUAGCUGGCGUACUAGCGCCGGAGGUCCCUGUCCAAUAUCCGAGGUAACAUAUUGUUUUAUUUCUCGAGCUCUUUUCCAUAUCCAUAGCUAUCAUGCAGGCGUUCCUGUACGAAAUAGGAACUCAUAACUGUACCAAGAAGUAAUCCAAAGUCGUCCAAAGUCGAGGCUCUGCUGCACCACCUCCAGACGUUAAGUGAGGCCGGGUCGAAAAGCGUUGAUUUUAGUCAGUGGACAGCGUUUCUCGACUUGUUAGAGAUACCAUUGAAAAGGUACGAGCGUCUUUCCUUUUGUGCUUUCUCUUUGUUUGUGUUUCUAACAAUGCACUGCCAGGAAGAACUUCUGUUUCGUCCGCUUGGACGGAACACUAUCGCAGCGUCAGCGAGAACAAGUGCUCAAAAACUUGAGCAAUAUUCCAGCCGUGGCCGUAAGCUUUUUGUGUUGCUUACCUCCAAGAAACCACUCUAUUUUGUGGACAGGUCAUGCUCAUGCCUUUCUCAUGGUACGCGCUAUAGUUUUCUUUUUUAGCCAUCUUCCGAGUCGAGAAUGUGGACGAUCGAGCAUCGGUCAGACGAAGAACGUAUCGAUCAAGCGAUUCAUCGUCAAAGUAAGCGCCACUUGAAACUCUCUUUGACGUUUCUCAUGUCUCUAAAGCAGGAUCGAAGCGAGGAAGCAGCGAUUGAUCGCGGGGGCUCUCACAGACGAAGAGGUGCGAAGCGCUCGAAUCGAGGUGCUCAAAAUGCUAUUUAGAUGAGAAGAACUGGAUUUUUUUAACUUAUAUCAGUGUACAUAGUUAAAGAGGGGAAUAUGCUUCUAGCAUCGGCGCGUAUAUUCUUCGGAUAGUUCAAUGUGUCAUGGAUGUAGGAGCUUUGGGUACAAGCAUUUCUAGGUUUCUUCGCGGCUAUGGCGGACAGCGAAGGAGCAGGCGAUCGCGUCGCAAGCGGCGACGAGCAAGGUAUGCAUGCUAGGAUCGCCUCGAGAAGCAGCAGCAGCGCCAGCGCCGGCGCCGCGCCGCGAUUUCGCUGGCCUAGAGAGCCGGAGUAGCCGAUCUAGAUUCAUGCAAGCAUAUUAUCUCUAGGAAAUUGAGCUGAACGCUGAGGCUUUGCAGGCGAUCGCGUCGAUUCCUCUGGUCUCCGCGGCCGGGGCGGCUAGAAAGCCGGGGCGCAUUCUAGAGUUUCGGGGUUUCUGGGGCGAUCAGUCAUGUAGCGGGUAGAGCCGUUGGUGCGGCUUUUGAGGAGUCCAAACAGAGGCUCCAUAAUCUAGAUGCUUUGGAAGGAGAAGGCGUGACGACCUCUCUAGAUCUUGAGGAGCUACAAAUUGACGGUCACCGUCGUGAGGGUAAAGCUCCACAGUUUUACAAGGUUUGUGCUUGCUUUUUUUCUUUCUCUAUUUUCAUGUGUUUGUAUCUCUGGUUACAGCCGAAGGAGAACCGUUUCAGGACCUCUGAAGAACUAAAGGUAUGCAUAUGCAUAUUCUUAAUAUUGUUAUGUUUUCCAUGUUUUACCAUUUACUCUAUACACCAGAUUUUAAAAUACUCAAAACCACGAGAGUAAAGUAAUAUCCUGAGAAUACGAUUUGUAAGAAAAACAGAAACUGUGUCUUCUCCAAACGCUGCUGACGGCUUGGAAAUCUCUGUUUUUGUUUUUUGAGUGAUGCAAAAUAGUGUAGCAUUUGCGCAGAUCGAGAACCCAAUCGAUGUCCACUGAAGGAGCAAGGUUUAAUCCCAGAAUGUUAUCUGGAGAUCCGGCCGCUCCUCAAGCCAUGGUGGAACUUUCGUACCUUUUUGGCAGCAUAGGACUUUGAGCCUGGGAAAUAAGCCAAGGCCGUGAUCGUCUGAACUCAAUUGGGGCCACACUACAUCAUCAUGAUCAGCGAGCUCAAGAACCUCCAAUCCUGGAAGGGAUGCAAUGGAUGAUGGAAUAUCUUCAAUCCCAGACAAGUGCACACGUCUUAAAAGAGUCAUCUGGUCUGUUGGCUCAAAGAAUUCAUUGGGGAGCUGCCUCAUACAGCCCUUCCACCAAUAUAAUAUGAACAAUUUCACCUUCAGCUGUGAUCUCUCGGUUGGCAUCAAGAGUCUCCUCAUGUAACCUUCUACUCUCAGUCCAUCAAGGUCUUUGGGGAGUUGUGUCACAAAGAGAGGCAAAUGCUCCCAUGUAUUAUCAGGAGCCAGAUAGAAUCUUAACCUCUUCAGGUUUGGAAGACUUGCUGCCAAAUCAUCCUUGAACUUCGACUGUGCAAUGUGCAGAUUUCGAAGCUCCAGCCAUUCGAGGCAUGGGAACGAUCCAUCCAGACUGAAGAACUGGAUACCACUGCAGUCUAGUUGAAGUUGUUGUAGCCGUUGAAAGCCCUUUAGCCAAGACAGGUCUUUCAUUGUCUCAUUGUUUCUGAUCGUUAAAAUUUGUAGCUGUGGCCAUUCAAGGCUUUCGGCAUUGUUUUCACCGUCUUGUACCCCGUCAAUGGUAAAGUCCUGAAGCUGUUUGGAAUUCUUAAACAUUCGCUUCCAGUCAAGUUUGAUACUCGAUUGCACGCUAAUGUCACAUCGUCUUAGAUUGACAAGUUGCCACGGGCCGGUGAAAUCGCCAAAGUCCAUGGUCUUUGCACUCAACUGCAGUUUCUCAAUGUCCACUAGUGCACCAAGGUUGUGAGGUAUUUUUAUUGUUGCACGUUUGAAGUCUAGCUUUAAAUCUCUUAGCUUGUGUAGGCUUGAAAUUCCACUCAAAUCCAUAGCCACAGCUAACUCCUUACAAGAUUCAAGCUCCAGAUGUUCGAGGCAUGGGAACGAUCCAUCCAGACUGAAGAACUGGAUACCACUGCAGUGUAUGUGAAGUUCUCGUAGCCGUUGAAAGCCCUUUAACCAAGACAGUUCUUUCAUUGUCUCAUUGUUUCUCAUCCUUAAAUAUUGGAGCUGUGGCCAUUCAAGGCUUUUGGCAUUGUUUUCAACGUCUUGUACCCCGUGAAUGACAAAGUCCUCAAGCUGUUUGGAAUUCUUAAACAUUCGCGUCCAGUCAAGUUUGAUAGUCGAUACCACCCUAAUGUGACAUCGUCUUAGAUUGACAAGUUGCCACGGGCCGGUGGAAUCGCCAAAGUCCAUGCUCUUUGCCCACAACUCCAGUUUCUCAAUGUCAGGCUGUGAGGUAUUUUUAUUGUUGCAUUGUAGAGUUUUAGCUCUAAAUGUCUUAGUAGGCUUGAAAUUCCACUCAAAUCCACAGCAAACUCCUCAUUGGACUUAAGCUCCAGCUCUUCCAAGUUGAAUAAUUGGGGCAGUAAUGCAAAGUUGAAUUUUCUGAUCUCAUUGCAUUUCAAAACCUUCAGUGAUGUCAAGCUGAAGAGCGCAUCUGGGAAUAUUGUCGUCACAAAUAAAACUCGAAGGUCAAGCACUUGAAGGUUUCUCAGCUUGGAUAUGCUCUCUGGAAUAAAACGGACCAACUUAAAGCAUCUAUUCACGCUCAAUACCUUGACAUUUUGGAUGUGAUCUAUAAUAAGACUGUCAUCCAUUACUUUACAUCCAUCGAGAAGCAAGACAUCUCGCACAUGAAUGCCAGACAAAAAGCUGCUUGUAACCUUCUUUCCAAUGAAUGAAACUUUAGAAAAUGUUGCAGAAAUCCCAGGUGGACAAUCAUAGCCAAACAGGCAUCCCUUCUCGUGCUCUUCCUGGGGUGGGUACUUCCCUUUCAAGAUUCUUAUGCACAGCUUGCGUACCAUAUCGUGCACAGUUACAAACUUAUACCAUCGAAUCUGAUUCUCGAAUCUGAAUCGAUCAUCAGUUGUCUUCACUAGGCAUCUUCGUUCCAGUUCACUAACAAUCUGCAGAGGCGAGAGUUCUGACCCAACCGCUAUCCAACAUUUUCUCAGAUCAUCAAACUCGAUUCGCCGAUCUUCUGGAAACGCAGCCACAUAGAGAAAGCACUCUUGCAGCUUUUCAUCCUUAUUAGACAGCUCGUCAUAGCUAAACUUCAAGCGCUGGAACAUCCGCUUCUCAAUGUCCCCGUCAUUCAACAAAUGCAUCUUCUGAUAGCGUUCUUCCCACACCUGCGUCCCUUCAUUCCUGUGGACAGCCAUGGCACUGCCAAUCACUUCAAGAGCUAGAGGGAGACCCUCACAUUUGCCAGCUAUUCUCUCGGCAACUUUCACAAUGUCCGGAUCACUAGGUAGUGAAUCAUAAAAGGCAAACUUCCAAAACAUCUUUUUGCUCUCGUCCUCUGAUAGCUUAUGCACAGGAAAUACCUUUGCACCCAGCUUGCUCAAAAUGUCUUCCUUUCUGGUUGUUACCAGCACCCGGCUGUAAGAGGACAGCCCUGCUAUAAAAUCCAGUCCCUUGGCCAAGCUCAUCUCCCACACAUCAUCCAGUAUCAGCAAGACACAAAUUCCACGAGCAACAUUUUGUGCCAAGUGCUGCACAUGCUCAAGGGUGCCUGCAUUUUGGGCCCUCUCUUUCAUGCCGCCCCAGUCAAGAGCGUUGAGGAGCUGGGCCCUGAGAUCAUCCUCCGAUGCAUCUUUCUUGACAGUGAUCCAUACAAUGUUGUCAUGGAAAUGCUGCCGGACCCUCUGGUCAUUGUUCACGAAGCUUGCAAGGGUGGUCUUGCCACAUCCUCCCAUUCCCAGGAGUCCAAACCAUUUCCCCGGGGCUUGUGGAUCCAGGAGGGCAUUCACCACCUCAUCCAGCUGCUCCCCAUGGCGGCCAAACAUGUCGUUGGCCUCGGGAACACCACGCCGUACAUAGUUUACGAGACCUCUGUCUUGUGGACAACUCCGUACGGAAAAGCUGGUGCUCGGCUGUAUCACUCUCAACUCUUCUCGCUCGUACCUUUCAAUGUGCGGGAGGAGAUCGUUCUCGCAAGUGCGUACCAGCUCCAAAAUCGCGCCAGAUCGCUUCUCCCUGCGCGACAGAUCCAUCUUUUAGCUCCAUUGCUUCAAACAUGAAUUCGAAUAAGCCUUACUGUGAUCCAAGCAGCGCUUGCGCCUUCUCAGUCCAUUCAGUCAGUUCAGUCAGCCACGCCUCAGCCUCACCAGAGUAGCGGAAAUCUGGAUUCCUGUGCUUGGGAGCAUUAAACUUGUCAAGCGUGGCCUGGAUUCUGGAUGCCCUCUUCUUUAGCUCCUCAAUGUGGACAUUCAGCUCAUGCUCGUGACCCUGGAUCUGCGACAGGAGAUCGCCGUAGGCACUUAAGGACUUCGCGAUCUCGUUACUCCGCUUGUACCUAUAGGAAGUGGAGAAGUUCAACCAGCUGCCUGCCAUUUGUACACACACACACACAAAAGAUAAAAUGCUACUGUACCCACCGCUUUAUGGGGCUCCAGAUCCUGUUGUCGCGUGAUCCCAAGAGUGCUUGUGCCUUGGUGUUCCAUUUCCUGACACGCUCCAAGCAUUCCUCGGCCGCUUCAGAGAACAUAAAGCCAGGUCCAUUUCGCUCCUUGUGGCGACCGAAAGCGUUGAUCUUGUCCCGGAUGUGGGGCGCCGGAUUUGUUCUCCAGCGUUUCAAUGUUGGCAUUGCAGUCCCAUACCUUCUUAGCAGGGCCCAGAGCCAAGCCACACAAGGCGCUUGCCAAGGAGCCCACAACCUCCAUGGCUGUAGACCUACAAGUAAAGGUUGUCUCCCUCCCAGAAAGAAGCGCAACAUUAACUCUUGACCUUGUAGAUCGGAAUUCUUCACUUUUUUCACAGCUGUGGCUCACUCACUCUAUGAGAUUCACAGUGAGCACCGCAACGAUCGCUACAUCGCUCGCAAAAAACACGUAAAGUACUUGUGUCUUUGGCCAAAACCCUAAACAUCGACACGCCCGAGAAGAACAUCGUCUUUUCUCUUGUACGGCGUUGAUCCAGGCGUACGGGAAUAGAGGGCUCCUCUGCCGAUCUUUGAUGGGAUCCGGGCGAUCUUGUCACCGACGUCUUGAAAGAUCUUAGAUUCUAUCCGCAAUCGCCCAGUCAAUGCGAUCCUGGCAAUGGGUGCUCCAUAUCAUUCUAUUCCCGCCCGGACGUGAUCUCCAGGAUUUGCGAAGAAGAAGGUCGUCGAUCAGAUGCGCGAUGCUGGCGCGCAAUUGAUUGGGGCUUCCCGCUACAUUUUCCCGCGCUACUUCUCCAUUCUAGGGUUCUUUCUUGGAGGCGACGUAGGUUUUCUAUUGCCCGCGUGGUCGAGGAGACGGCGCUGGGGGGCGGCCUUGAUCGGCGUUGUGGAGCUGCACAAGGUAAUGGGGCUCGACACUCCGGGUUUUAGAAAUAGGAAGAGGCUCCAGCUUAAGGCUCCGACGAGCAGUGCCAAGGCGAGGAGCCCCAGCCAGCGUUGGUAAAUCGUGGACGACAGGGAGCUCUAGAUGUACGGUGACAACAAAGGUCCCUGCGGCAAAAUGUUCCAUCGGCAGUGGAUCGCCAAAAACUCCUGCAAAAGCUGAGGCUUCUAGGACAGCAAAAAUUGCCGAGGUGAGCAAUGAUAGUGGAGCAGAGGAUUUAGAUGAUUCGGGAGUAGAAAGUGGAGCAAUCGAUGGUGGGGAAGAAGAGGUAAACAAGAUUAUGACUGGAGGAGGAAACGAUGCCGAGGUGGAAAGAACAACAGUGGUGGAGAGCUCCAUUGAGACUGUCAGGAAACAUGGCGAGGCUGUUUCUAGCGCCUUAGCUGGACUUUCAAUCAGAGGUAGUGCCUUGACCCACGGUAAUCCCGUUAAGAUGGAAGCUGGCUGUGAUUCCGUGAAAGCUGAAGCUUCGGUUUCGAUCGCAGCUGGAUGUGAUCCUACGAAAGUAGAUGGCUUGGUGAAGAUGGAAGCUGGUUGUUUUAGAUGCAGAGAGGUGGUGGCUUCUCCAAGAGACUGAAGUUGCCGGGUACUCGACGUCCAGGGGAUGCCGGAUUCGUGUUGGCGAGUUCGUGUCCUUCAAUUUUCCCAAGCCUGAAGCCGAAAGUAAGAAGAAGUUCUUCCAGCCGACUGGUGAUACCUUUGGGAAGUGCAAAAUGGCACCAGAGGCUCUUUCUCUUAUGAGCAGCAUAGUUCUCCAUUUGAGGUAGAGUUUUCUGUGUUUACCAGAGACGUUACGUAUAUGAUGUGCUUGCAGAGUUUAUAUCAACAAGUCAGAAGCCUUACGAGGAGGGGGAUGAGCGCGGAUUGAAGCUUCUGCAAGCUAUCUUGAAGCCGUUAAUGCUUCGGAGAACAAAAGAUUCAACUGAUAAAGAAGGAAGGUAAGCAUUUUUUUUCUUUGCACUGUGCCUUGUCUUGUAUUCACUCACAAGUUGGAUUCACAGACCAAUUCUUGUUCUCCAACCGGCUCAAUAUGAAGUUAUUGUAUCCAUAUCCAUAGCUAUCAUGCAGGCGUUCCUGUACGAAAUAGGAACUCAUAACUGUACCAACAAGUAAUCGGUUUCGAAUAAAUGUCGAGGAGCAGUGGAAGGAGUCGUCCAAAGUCGAGGCUCUGCUGCACCACCUCCAGACGUUAAGUGAGGCCGGGUCGAAAAGCGUUGUUUUUAGUCAGUGGACAGCGUUUCUCGACUUGUUAGAGAUACCAUUGAAAAGGUACGAGCGUCUUUCCUUUUGGUGCUUUCUCUUUGUUUGUGUUUCUAACAAUGCACUGCCAGGAAGAACUUCUGUUUCGUCCGCUUGGACGGAACGCUAUCGCAGCGUCAGCGAGAACAAGUGCUCAAAAGCUUCAGCAAUAUUCCAGCCGUGGCCGUAAGCUUUUUGUGUUUCUUACCUCCAAAAACCACUCUAUUUUGUGGACAGGUCAUGCUCAUGCUUUUCUCAUGGUACGCGCUAUAGUUUUCUUUUUUAGCCAUCUUCCGAGUCGAGAAUGUGGACGAUCGAGCAUCGGUCAGACGAAGAACGUAUCGAUCAAGCGAUUCAUCGUCAAAGUAAGCGCCACUUGAAACUCUCUUUGACGUUUCUCAUGUCUCUAGAGCAGGACUCGGUGGGGGAGAGAAUGCAACAGGUCCAAGCGAGGAAGCAGCGAUUUCGCGAGGGCUCUCACAGACGAGGUGCGAAGCGCUCGAAUCGAGGAGCUCAAAAUGCUAUUUAGAUGAGAGUCCUUAGCAACUUAUAUCAGUGUACAUAGUUAAAGAGGGGAAUAUGCUUCUAGCAUCGGCGCGUAUAUUCUUCGGAUAGUUCAAUGUAGGUUUCUUCGCGGCUAUGGCGGACAGCAGGCGAUCGCGUCGCAAGCGGCGACGAGCAAGGUAUGCAUGCUAGGAUCGCCUCGAGAAGCUGCAGCAGCGCCAGCGCCGGCGCUGCGCCGCGAUUUCGCUGGCCUAGAGCCGGAGUAGCCGAUUUCCUAGAGAUUAUGAUCUCUAGGAAAUUGAGCUGAACGCUGAGGCUUUGCAGGCGAUCGCGUCGAUUCCUCUCGUCUCCGCGGCCGGGGCGGCUAGAAAGCCGGGGCGCAUUCUAGAGUUUCGGGGUUUCUGGGGCGAUCAGUCAUGUAGCGGGCAGUGAUUCUCUCACAGAGAGCUGGAAGUCAGCCAUGACGUGGAAUCCGCCACAAGUAGCUUGUCCGCCUUGACUGCCACUACUCAGGCCGAGGAUGAACUGGGCGUGGAUGUGUCGUCUCCCAGCGGCGAUUUGCUGCUCCAUUUUCUCAAGAGCGGUGGGGGCGACGAGCAGCUGAGGAGCAGUAGCAGCUACAGGACCCAGCAGUCGCAGCUCACCGUCCCUGCCACAGCUUUGCUCCUUCUGGAGGACCUGGAGGAGGAGGAGAAGGUCCUCCUCCACGACCACUCUACGUCCCAGCAAUAAGAUUUGGUGGGUGGUCACCUCACUUCCAGCGGCACCAAGACCCACUUUUCCCUCCGGAUCCAUUCUUGACUCCGUCGGACCACUGAUUUCUACGCUCGUUUGCUCCUCUUCCCGUUCCAUCCGCCAGUGCCGUAUCCUUUUCCAAAUGCUCCGACUUUCCAGCCUGCUGAUAAUGUGGUUCAUCCGCCGCAUUCCUCUGGGGAGCUUAAAGCUCGUCCUGGCCUUCACUUCGAGUCUCCGGUGUUUGGACCCAGCGCAGCAGAGACCUCGGACUCCAAACGCGCCCCAGAGCAGUCGAGGAGAUCGGUUACACCUGCGAAGGAUGACAAGCAACAAUUCCACGGCAAUGGUUCCGAGCUCCUUCAGUUGUUACAGGGUGGUCCUGGUCGUGUGAAGCCCACAGCCUCCACAAAGGUGGAUGCUACACAGGACAGUGGGGAUUCUGGAGAGCCAUCACAGAAAGGAAGUCCAUCUGCUGUUCACGGCCCCAUAGGACCGCCGAGGCGUCAUGUCGUUUCUCCUCCGCAGAGUCCAAAUGACCUCCUUGGACGUUUGUGGGCUGCUCUUCCGUCGUCAAGCCACACUUCGUUUGACGGAGAAAGCGAACGCAAGACGUCAGCCCGGAGCUUUGGCGUUGAAGUGAACGAGAUGUCCCGGGAAGUCGAUGGAGGUGAAGCUGCUGGUUUCGCACUUUUGAAGCGAAGGGGAUCGGAGCCUGCCGCCUCGCACUACCUUUAAACGACUACGACUAUAGGACUCUAAGACAAAUGAUAAGCCGAGGACAAACUCAGCAUCCGGAAGACUACAGGACUAUCGUGGGAGAUACGUAAAUGGAGAGGCCGAAUUUGAGCCCGGAGGCGAUGACUUUCGAGGUGCGGGAACGCGUCGAGUUACCGGUCGUGCAGACGCCAGACGCGGUGGUCGGGGUGCUGUUGGCCAGUGGAUUGCGGUAAAUGAGAGGCAUAAAGAUGCUGAGCCAAGUGACAUCACCUCCUGCGAUAUCUCUGAUGGAAGGGACGAGUCGCUUAAAUCUUCAAACGGGACUUAGUCGAAUGCUCGGAGAAAACAUCAACAGGAAUGGAAGAUAAAACAGGCUGACUCAAAGUCAGCAUUUCCAGCGGAGAAAAAACAGGACUACAAGGUUCCAAAGGCACGGUCUUUGGCAUCUCAACUUGAACGUCCAGGCUUGCCAUCGGGAAGUACGCAAAACUCUUCUGUUGGUGCGGCUUUUGAGGAGUCCAAACAGAGGCUCCAUAAUCUAGAUGCUUUGGAAGGAGAAGGCGUGACGACCUCUCUAGAUCUCGAGGAGCUACAAAUUGACGGUCACCGUCGUGAGGGUAAAGCUCCACAGUUUUACAAGGUUUGUGCUUGCUUUUUUUCUUUCUUUAUUUUCAUGUGUUUGUAUCUCUGGUUACAACCGAAGGAGAACCGUUUCAGGGAGUCCAGACGCGUCAUUCCCAUGCACAGACGUGAUCUUCUUUACCGACUGGAUCUGCUGAAUUUCACUCGUGAGCUUUUCUGGCUCUACGACGAGCUUGUACCAACUGAAGAAGGGGAGGUCCGGAGAAGGAAGUUCUUCUCGAAGCUUGAGUCCCUUUUCGAGAGGGAGCUCCCGGGAACACGGCUCUUUCUUUUCGGAUCGUGUGUCAAUGCGUUUGGAGUUUGUAACAGUGACAUCGAUGUUUGCCUCUUCGUUGAUCAGGAAGAACCAAGCUGCUUGUUCAAAUGGCAACUAUCCUCGAGUCAGAUGCCAUGUUAAACGUACAGGAGGCGUAGGACUCAACGUGACUCAUGGUACCCGCUAUAGUUUCUUAUCCGAAUUCUUAGCCAUCCUCUGAUCCAGAGAACUUUCCUUUCAUUGUUCUUGGCAACAAGGUCGAUGUUGAUGGAGGGAACGAUAGAGUGGUGAGCUCUUUUGUUUCAUCUCUCGCCUCACUUUAAAGCUUGUGUGUCCAGGUUUCCGAGAAGAAAGCCAAGGCUUGGUGUGCUUCCAAGGGAAACAUUCCAUACUUUGAGGCGUCUGCCAAGGAAGACUACAACGUGGAGGCUGCGUUUCAAUGCAUUGCCAAGAAUGCCUUGACGAGCGAACCCGAGGAAGACUUGUAAGUUUUGCUUGUUUCUUCUUGUGAUGUUUCAAGCUCACAUUUAACUUUUGGCAGCAGCUAUCUUCCAGACACGAUGGACAACAACAGACGGCCAAGAUCGUCUGGCUGCGAGUGUUGAUCUACUACUACUGUCCCUCUAUCGAUAAGUGUUUUCGCUUUCAUUUUAUAUGUUUUUUUAAUUUCUUUUUAUUUUUACUCUCUCCUUUCGGUCGUUGGCCUUGGAUUUUUCCCUUCUCAAAUUUUUUUUUUCUUUUUGCUACGAAAUAAUUUUUCUUCUUCGAUGUUGUAUCUAGUUACUACUAGUAGUGCGCAAAUUCUUGUGUUUGUGUAUUAUUAAAUUUUCUUCGUUUCUAAUGGAUUGCUAGUUGACGAGAAUUGUGUCACAACAUGCCUAGAUUUUCUCGAUUCCACAAGUCUGGGUUGCAAGUAAGCAAAGGCUGUGAUUGACACUGCAUCACAAGAGUUUCCAAUCCUUGGCAGCGAUGCAACUUCGAAGCUGUGCAACCCUUUCGUUGUCUUAUUCAGCCGCCAACUUCAUUGUCCAAAAGUAUGGGGAAUGUGGCGAUGUGGAUGGCUUGCACAAACCAAACCAAUCAGGAUCGAGGGAGAUCACUACAUUGAUCUCGAAAAGUGCAUAUUCUUAAUAUUGUUAUGUUUUCCAUGUUUUACCAUUUACUCUGUACACCAGGUUUUAAAAUACUCAAAACCACGAGAGUAAAGUAAUAUCCCGAGAAUACGAUUUGUAAGGAAAAAAAGAAACUGUUUCUUCUCCAAACGCUGCUGACGCUGUGAAAACUCUGUUUUCGUUUUUUGAUGUUCUGCUUGUGAUGCAAAAUGGUGUAGCAUUUGCGCAGAUCUUCGAAAACCCAAUCGAUGUCCACUGAAGGAGCAAGGUUAUACCUCGAAGCUUAUAUGGACAUCCGGCCGCUCCUCAAGCCAUGGUGGAACUUUCGUACCUUUUUGGCAGCGUAGGACUUUGAGCCUGGGAAAUAAGCCAAGGCCGUGAUUGUCUGAACUCAAUUGGGGCCACACUACAUCAUCAUGAUCAGAGAGCACAAGUGUCUCCAAUCCUGGAAGGGAUGCAAUGGAUGAUGGAAUAUCUUCGAUCCCAUACAAGUGCACACAUCUUAAAAGAGUCAUCUGGUCUGUUGGCUCAAAGAAAUCAUUGGGGAGCUGCCUCAUACAGCCCUUCCACAAAGAUAAUGCGAACCGUUUCACCGUCAGCUGUGAUCUCUGGGUUGGCAUCAAGAGUCUCCUCAUGUAACCUUCUACAUCCAGUUCAUCAAGGUCUUUGGGGAGUUGUGUCACAAAGAGAGGCAAAUGCUCCCAUGUAUUAUCAGGAGCCAGAUAGAAUAGUAAACUCUUCAGGUUUGGAAGACUUGCGGCCAAAUCGUCCUUGAACUCGGACUGUGCAAUGUGUAGAUUUUGAAGCUCCAGAGCUUCAAGGCAUGGGAACGAUCCAUCCAGACUGAAGAACUGGAUACCACUGCAGUCUAUGUCAAGUUCCUGUAGCCGUUGAAAGCCCUUUAACCAAGACAGGUCUUUCAUUGUCUCAUUGUUUGUGAUACUUAAAAAUUGUAGUUGUGGCCAUUCAAGGCUUUCGGCAUUGUUUUCACCGUCUUGUACCCCGACAAUGGAAAAGUCCUCAAGCUGUUUGGAAUUCUUAAACAUUCGCUUCCAGUCAAGUUUGAUAGUCGAUUUCGCCCAAAUGUGACAUUGUCUUAGAUUGACAAGUUGCCACAGGCCGGUGAAAUCUGCAAAGUCCAUGCUCUUUGCCUCCAACACCAGUGUCUCAAUGUUCUUUAGUGCACCAAGGCUGUGAGGUAUUUUUAUUGUUGCACGAUAGGAGAGGUCUAGCUUUAAAUGUCUUAGCUUGUGUAGGCUUGAAAUUCCACUCAAAUCCACAGCUAACUCCUCAUUGCACUCAAGCUCCAGCUCUUCCAAGUUGAAUAAUUGGGGCAGUAAUGCAAAGUUGAAUUUUCUGAUCUCAUCGCAUUUCAAAACCUUCAGUGAUGUCAAGCUGAAGAGCGCAUCUGGCAAUUGAGGCACACUUGAACGUCGAAGGUCAAGCACUUGAAGGUUUCUCAGCUUGGAUAUGCUCUCUGGAAUAAAACGGACCAAAUUAUACCAUCCAUUCAAGCUCAAUACCUUGACAUUUUGGAUGUGAUCUAUAAUAAGACUGACAUCCACACCAGAAAUUCCAUGACAUCCAUCGAGAAGCAAGACAUCUCGCACAUGAAUAUCAGACAAAAGGCUGCUUGUAACCUUCUUUCCAAUGAAUGAAACUUUAGAAAAUGUCGGAGAAAUCCCAGGUGGACAAUCAUAGCCAAACAGGCAUCCCUUCUCGUGCUCUUCCUGGGGUGGGUACUUCCCUUUCAAGAUUCUUAUGCACAGCUUGCGUACCAUAUCGUGCACAGUUACAGACUUAUACCAUGUAGAAUCAGUUGUCUUCACUAGGCAUCUUCGUUCCAGUUCACUAACAAUCUGCAGAGGCGAGAGUUCUGACCCAACCGCUAUCCAACAUUUUCUCAGAUCAUCAAAGCGGAUUGGCCAAUCUUCUGGAAACGCAGCCACAUAGAGAAAGCACUCUUGCAGCUUUUCAUCCUUAUUAAACCGUCCCAGCUCGUCAUAGCUAAACUUCAAGUGCUGGAACAUCCGCUUCUCAAUGUCCUCGUCAUUCAACAAAUGCAUCUUCUGAUAGCGUUCUUUCCACACCUGUGGCCCCUCAUUCCUGUAGACAGCCAUGGCACUGCCAAUCACUUCAAGAGCUAAAGGGAGCCCCUCACAUUUGCUAGCUAUUCUCUCGGCAACUUUCACAAUGUCCUGAUCACUAGGUAGUGAAUCACGAAAGGCAAACUUCCAAAACAUCUUUUCGCUCUCGGCCUCUGAUAGCUCAUGCACAGGAAAUACCUUUGCACCUAGCUUGCUCAAAAUGUCUUCCUUUCUGGUUGUUACCAGCACCCGGCUGUAAGAGGACGGCCCUGCUAUAAAAUCCAGUCCCUUGGCCAAGCUCAUCUCCCACACAUCAUCCAGUAUCAGCAAGACACAAAGUCCACGAGCAACAUUUUGUGCCAAGUGCUGCACAUGCUCAAGGGUGCCUGCAUUUUGGGCCCUCUCUUUCAUGCCGCCCCAUUCAAGAGCGUUGAGGAGCUGGGCCCUGAGAUCGCCCUCCGAUGCAUCUUUCUUGACAGUGAUCCAUACAAUGUUGUCAUGGAAAUGCUGCCGGACCCUCUCGUCAUUGUGCACGAAGCUUGCAAGGGUGGUCUUGCCACACCCUCCCAUUCCCAGGAGUCCAAACCAUUUCCCCGGGGCUUGUGGAUCCAGGAGGGCAUUCACCACCUCAUCCAGCUGCUCCCCAUGGCGGCCAAACAUGUCGUUGGCCUCGGGAACACCACGCCGUACAUACUUUACGAGACCUCUGUCUUGUGGACAACUCCGUACGGAAAAGCUGGUGCUCGACUGCAUCCCUCUCAACUCUCGCUCGUACCUUUUAAUGUGCGGGAGGAGAUCGUUCUCGCAAGUGCGUACCAGCUCCGAAAUCGCGCCAGAUCGCUUCUCCCUGCGCGACAGAUCCAUCUUUUAGCUCCAUUGCUUCAAACAUGAAUUCGAAUAAGCCUUACUGUGAUCCAAGCAGCGCUUGCGCCGUCUUAGUCCAUUCAGUCAGUUCAGUCAGCCACGCCUCAGCCUCACCAGAGUAGCGGAAAUCUGGAUUCCUGUCCUUGGGAGCAUUAAACUUGUCAAGCGUGGCCUGGAUUCUGGAUGCCCUCUUCUUUAGCUCCUCAAUGUGGACAUUCAGCUCAUGCUCGUGACCUUGGAUCUGCAAUAGGAGAUCGUCGUAGGCACUUAAGGACUUCGCGAUCUCGUUACUCCGCUUGUACCUAUAGGAAGUGGAGAAGUUCAACCAGCUGCCUGCCAUUUCUACACACACACACACACAAAAGAUAAAAUGCUACUGUACCGACCGCUUUAUGGGGCUCCAGAUCGUGUUGUGGCGUGAUCCCAAGAGUGCUUGUGCCUUGGCGUUCCAUUUCCUGACACGCUCCAAGCAUUUCUCGGCCGCUUGAGAGAACGUGAAGCCAGGAUUCCGCUGCUUGUGAACACUGAAAGCGUCGAUCUUGUCCUGGAUGUGGGGCGCCUUGUUCUCCAGCGUGUCAAUGUUGGCAUUGCAGUCCCAUAUCUUCUUAGCAGGGCCCAGAGCCAAGCCACACAAGGCGCUUGCCAAGGAGCCCACAACCUCCAUGCCUGUAGACCUACAAGUAAACGUCGUCUCCCAGAACUCUUGGCCUUGGUACCCCCUCUUAAAAUGAACAGUAAUUUUCAGAGAGGUAUAAGCUGCAGUAGAGCGAGUAGUAGAGGGCCUCGUGCAGCACCCUCCCUCUUGCAAUGCCAGCUGUGGCUCUCUCUCUCUCUCUCUCUCUCUCUCUCAUUGCUCCGACAUUGUAAGUUUCUCCAGGAGAGGUAACUUUUGUCGCUUUGUUUUAGUUGCACACAGAUAGGACGCCUUCCAGCUGACUGGGCCACGUGUUUGAUUGCUUUGGGUCAGGAAAGCGUACUCUGGGUCAUUCUUCACUAUUUUUGAGACUAGAAAUGUAUAUGGUUUUAUUUUUGAACUAGGAUAGUUUAUAUGUUUUAAUAUAGUUAACACUCUGGAACUUGAUUUAUAAUAUUAAGGACAUCAAGGAUUAUUUUAAAAUUGGACUAAAACUUGAUUUUCCUUAUGGAUUUUCAACUACAUAUAAAAGAUGUACAUUCAUGUAAUUUAUUCAUAUGACAAUAUUCUUUUGAUAAGAGCAUAGGUUGUGCUGUUUAACAAACAUAUGAUGUUUUUGACUGGAACUUUUAUGAAAAAAUUCCCACACUUCAAUAAGAAAAUAAACAAAUUUAUAUUGUUUUUAUUUGCUGCAGAAUGUCCUUUUUUAAUUCUAUAUGAAUUGGGAUUGUUGGUUACAACUUCCAUACAUAUAACAUAUAAAUGUUCUAUUGCAAACAUCUUUACCACAUAUUUAAUUCUUCCUUGGAUCCUCAUAAUAUAAUCAAUUGCCACUUCUAUAGAAUUGUCUUUAUUGUUACUUUUAUAGUAGUGUCCUUAUUGUGGGCACCUUCUGGAAAUUUGUGAUAAACUACAUCCAAAACUAAAUAAAAGUAAUUCCAAACAUUGUUAUAGUAUGGCACAAUGUAAACUUCUCUAACUAGAGUAUUCAUUAGUAAGAUGCAAAUAUGAUUAAAUUGAAUAUUCCCUAAAACUAAAAUAUGAGAACCUAUGUGGUGAUAUUUCAUUAGAGUUCUUCUUAGUUCACCUACAUAGUAACUGAGAAAAAAUUAUUAACUUCUACCAAAGAAAUAGAUAGAUAGACAAUUUCUCACUAGUAGUAUUUAACACAAAUAAAGAUUUCAAUUGCACCCCUAAUCCCAACUAAGAAUAUCUUUAUAAUUUGAGUAAAAUAUAUAUCACUUGGAAAACCAUAUAGUUAUAAGCAUGAAAUAUAAUAUGAUUAUUACAAACCUACCACCAUAGUUGUGUUUUGCUUUUGCACUAUGAUCUUAGCAUGUAUUGCCACAAUUUUUAAUUCUUCCUCUUUCAUGACAUUUUCUUCAACCAAAUUAUCAUUAGGUAAACUAUUCAUCACUCAUUCCAACAUCACUAAUGACAAAUAUAAUGUUCUCUCACAAAUCAUAUCCAAACCCAUUUGCUAGAUUAUAUGGUUUUGACUUUCCCCCCAAAUCCACUCUAUUAUUUGUCAUCGUGCUAACUUAUGCAUUUUUAGUGAGAGUAAGUGUUUGCCUAUGCUUAUAGAAAGUAGAUUUGGUGAAAAAAUAACCUUUUGCUGCCCUUGUUGCAACAUAUGAUAGAUAACAAUAAUUUUUCUUUCAUUUUUGCUUUAGUUUGGUAUGAACCAUUGAGAUGUGUCAUUUUCUGGCUAAUCUAGUGAUUCCAAUCCCCAGACAAAUAUUACAAUCAACAUUACAAGGCAAACACAUUCUUGCAAAACUUGUGAAACUUAAAAAUACACGAUUAUCACAUAUCUUUUAGUGUUUUUAAUGUUGUCAACCUCGUGGUUUUUUGCUGCUUUCUUUCAAAAACAUAAUAUUGUUAUAAAUAUUUUUUUUGAGGUAUUUUUCAAGUCCUUAUUUAGCAAAUUCAUAAUGGAGGUAGAGGAGAUAAAUUGCCCAAUCCGUAAUGCUUUUUGGGAUUGGGCUUAUAAGUAACAUUUGAUAAGCAUAGAACAUAGGAAGGUUAAAGCUUUUUACUUGUUUUUAUUGAUAGAAGUUUUUUUAUUUUGGUAUCAUGCUUACUUUAGCAAAAAUCUUUAACUCUUUGAGUUAGAUAAGGAUAAUUGCUUUUCUCUAAGGCUAUAAAGGUUUUAGUGAAGAUCUUGCUUAUAUCCUUAUGCAUCUAAUGUGCCAGUUAUGUUUUUAAAUGAUUUUUUAUUUGAUUUUGGAAAUCUUUUAUUUACAAUUCUCAUAUGCACUACUAUUUUGUGUUGUUAGAGCUUACCAUUGCAUCCACAAUAACAUUAAUAUGUCUUCAAUUGAUCUUAAUAUGAUGCAAGAUAAAUGACUAUUUAAGGAUGACCUGUGAUUUGCAAAUGAUUUUGGACUUGGAAGAUGAUUGAGGUUGGGAUCGAUGGCAGAGAUGGCAUGCUGUUGUUUUAUAUUAUAGCAAGGUCCACCAACCAUGGUGCUAUUUGGCCUAUAAAGCAAUUAGAAUUAGUAAAGUGAUGUUUUUAAUUAUACAUUUUUUAAUAUAGUUAUGUGUUUGGAUUAUUAGGGUAUAAGUUGUUUGAAAGAAACUCCAUACCCUAGAAGUAAUUAAAGAGUCAAAAUAGUCUAAUGAUGCAACUAUAGAGAUAGAGCGAGCAUAAUUAGCUAAAAUCAAUAUAAGUUUGUUACUUAAUUUAUAUAUAUUUUUUACAUUUGAACUUCCCACAUGUGAGAUAGGGUUUGCAUAGUAGGGUUUAGUGGGCGGCGAGAUUGUAAAGGUGUUAAGUUUUGUAUCUGCUUAUCGUUCUAUUUGAAUUGACAAGCUGAGAUAAGGUAAGCAAUGGGUGAAAAUACACAAAGUGAAUCCCUUUUUUUUUCCUAAAAUAUUGAUGACCUUAGCAAAAUUGAAUGGACCAUUUAGCAAGGGAUUGUAUAAAUAUAUUAUGAGUGUUUGUUUGGCUAGAGUGUUGCCAAACUUCCAUAACAAAAUUGAGAGUGAUGGAUUUCUUAGAAAGGAUUAUUUCAAGCUUAACAUUCCGAUAUGGAUGAGCAUUGGAGCAAAAAAAAAGGAUGCAAUCCAAUUGACAAAGAAACUCAAGAAUCUCAAUGAUUCGUCGGAAUAGAUAUGCUAUAAAAAGCAUGCCCAAAAUAAAAGCCCUUCACGAAAACAAUAGUACCAGCCAACACUCACUUAAGAAUAAAACACACCAAAUCAAGGAUUAUAAAAAUAGCAACCAAGGUUUGCAACACCAAUUUUUAAUGUUAAAUACUCCAAGCGCUUACUAGAUUUUUUAUUAACUUUAUUUAGCAAGAAUCUACUUUAUGAGUUAUUGUAAAUCUUUCCUAACUACAAAAGAGGAUACUUCAAAUGUAAAAGGUAAGUGGAGCAAAGAACUAAGCUAAUUGAGCAAGUUUUUGAGUGUAAAUUAAAUAAUCAGUUCCUUUUGUAUUUAUGAGUUCAAAAUAAAAGAGAUCUUCAUUAUAUUGUGAUAUCAACUUCAGAAAGUAGUGGUUGCUAAAAUAGAGCAAAUAAAAGAGUUUAUAAAGUACUUGUAUGACUAGAGUGUUGUAAAUCUCCUUGCAUUUAAGUUAAAUAUGUAGAUCUUGAGUUUUUUAAGGUACAAACCAUAUUAGUUUCAAUGGAAAAAACCUCAUAGUUUUCAAUAUAACUUUUGCAAUAUCUUCAAAUAGCAAGGAUAACAAUUUUAGAUAAAUGGCAAUGAGUUAGAACUACAAUAGUUAAGAAAGUUUAUAGUGGCACACUCAUUUGAAAGUAUAAAGCCCUACGAGUGAGGAUAAUUUCACUCAUAGAUAAGGAUUUACUGGCCAAUAUAAAGGUUUUUUUCAUAUGUGAGGUAAAUUGUUUUUAGGAUGGCAUUUUAAAAUUAUGCUCAACACUAAAGAAAAAGGUAUGCACUAAUUUUAAAUUUUAAGUUCAGGAGAUGUAUUGGCCUAAGUGCAUAAAGGCCAUUGUCAUUGGCAAGGAUAAUGAAAAAAUUAUUAAAGCAGUAUUAUUUUCAAAAGAAUUUUAUAGUUUUUUAAUUUUUGUUUAUGUAGCUCUAGACUGAAUCAUAUGGCAACGGAUGUGAGGAGCAACCCCCAUACCCUACUAAACAGAAUUGAUGAAGAAAUUGAGUGUGAGAUUAUAACCAAAGAAGAAAAAGGUAAAUUUCAUAGUAUAACUUAAUUGUAUAUAUAAUAUUUUCUGGCUCUAUUUACAAAUAGAAGAACACUGAAAGUGCUUCCUUAAAUAAUGUUUUAUUAAAAUGUGGAUAAUAUUAUAAAAAAAAUUUAUUGUUUUGCAACAAUCUUCACUAAAUUUAUUUUUUUUUGCUUGUGUGUAUUAAUUAUAACUAACUUGUAUAACUUUGUAAGUGUCAUCCACAAUAGUAAAAGCUUAGCCUAUGGCCAUAAAUAUUUAUAAGGAGGUGUAUUGAUUCUUAAGCUUGUAUAUAUUAUAUAAUAUAUGAAGAAAAAGAAGUGGAAUACACUGUAAAUGCACAAAAAAAAUCAACAACUAUUAAUAAAGUAGUAUAAUAACAAAUCAAUAUAAGUAAUUUUAUUUUUUUCCACUCAAAUUUAGCAAAUACUUGCAAGAAUUUUCUAAGCUUAACAUAGCAAUUCUAAGAAAAUUAGUGGAAUUGCUCCUUGAAUUUAAGUUUUCUUUUGUUAACAUAAAGCAAUUUUAUAAAAAUGAAAACUAUAUUUACCAAUUGCCAAAUGCUUGCAAAAUUAAAACUGAACAAACCUUAAAGGACAUUGUUGAUAAGAGUGUGAAGUUUGAACAAUUGAUUAUAUUUAAAGAGGCUUGGUCCAUAAAUACUUGGGACUACACCACUAUGAUAUUAAAAAAUUAAAAUGUAAUUAAAACCAUAUCUAUAAAUAUGGUUCUAUAUAUAAAAAUUUAUAUGCAACACUAUAUCUGAAUUGUGAAUAAAAUUAUGUGAACAAAAUUGGCAAACAUUAGUUUCCAAACUAUAUAUGUAUCAGUAAACUAUAUACAAAAGUAUAUGUACAUUUAUUCUCAAAAUACAACUCAAUCAUAUUCAAAAUUAUACAAAAAGCCAUUCCUUGUGAUUGCCAAAUAGCACAUAAAUCAUGAUGAAAACUAUGUACAAAACCAUUAGUGGUUGUGGUCCCAAAACCAAUGCAUUAACAAUUAAGAAACCAGUCAUGAAACCAUUAAAAUCACAUAUGGUUUAACCACAAGCACAACCAUUUUGUUUUGGUACUAGUUAUAGUAAAAAAACCAUGUUGAUGAGCAUAUUGUGGUUGUGGUGCUAGACAACACUAUAUGGCAUGGCAUCUGGCAGCCAGAUGUCUUUCCCAUGGAGAUGAAGGCCAAAGUGUUGGAACCUUUGGUGGAUCACAGCUGGAAAAAUCAAAGUACUUGAUAAUGGAGAAGAAAAUUUGUGCACCUUGACUUGAAUCAUGAUCUGCUCCAUAAGUUGUUGUGACAGCCAUCAAGGCAAUUUUGACGCUAAAUCAUCUUUGCAACCGGCAAGAACAACAUUCUAGGAGUAGUGGCUCAAGGUGCUGUUUUAAAUAUCCUUGCAAAAUGUUUGCACUAUGCAAAACACACAAUACCCAUUCCUCAUUGAAACGCCAUCAUUUGCUCUCACUCACUUGUUUUCUUUUGCAUCUCCACUCAGUGAGCUGCUAAGCCUUAGAUUAUCAUCUGGAGGAAGUAGGGAAUUCACAGCAUAGAGUUUUGGAGUUGAAGUGUUGUUGGGAUGUUAAGUAUGAAGCUCAAAUUGCAUAUGCAUUGUAUUUUUCUGGUAUGUUGUUGUGUGGUAUUUUUUUUCCCAAUAUGUCUGUGGUACAAUGUGGCUUGGUUUUUAAGGAGUCCUCGCACUUCCUAGUCCAUUUCUCGUCACAGGGUCUUUUAGUGGUAAUAAAUUCCCACUCGAAGAUAAUAUAAGCAAGGAACUAGUGGUUUCCAGAAGCCGAGUUUAUUCGUCCCCAGUUUUUAAGUUGGAAAGUUGCAAGAGGGAGACUGCACAGGUGAUGGAAUUCUGCUGCUGUGCUCAUCAGCAAAACUUGAGCACCCGAGUUGGAUCAACCGGGGAUAAGAAACUGGGAGGCUGUAUCAAACGUCAUCCUGGCAUAUGACCAAAACGCUUAAGCAAAGAGGUUGUUUCUUUUGAUGAUUUAUCCAGAGAGUUGCUUCUCGUGUAACAUUUUGAUCAAGGGGUUUGUGGAUGCCGGGAAGCAGCAUUUGCCCUGGCAUGGCAUUUGGAAGAAGCAAAGGGUUUCGUUUGAUGCAAUGCCUCAGUAUGACGUGCUCGCAAGAAACACAAUGGUCACUCUAUUUAUACAAACAGAAAACCUUGAACACACAAAGUACAGGUUGUCUCUUUUGCAAAGUUGAAACGUUUUCUCCCAGAAAGAAGCACAAUAUUAACUCUUGGCCUUGUAGAUCGGAAUCAUACUGUUCUUCACUUUUUUCAACUCUCUCUCUCUCUCUCUCUCUCUCUCACACACACACACACACACACUAAUAGCGUUUUGAGCAGCUGUUCUUCCAUCCAGGCAUUUGCUGUUUUGGUUCAAUUUUGCUUAAACACCAGCGACCUUCACGACAUAAGAGCUAGAUUGAUUCACAGUGAGCACCACAACGAUCGCUACCUCGCCAAUCUCAUCGUCCAAAAGUAUGGGGAGCUGUGGGGUGCUCGACGGAUCAUCGCUGGCUCUUGCGGAACAUCUUGCUGGGAAAAAUCGGUUGAGCGGAGAUCCAAGAGGGAUGUGGUCGCAUGGAACUUGAUCCUCGCAGCGUAUGCCUAAAACGCUCAGUCAAAAGAGAUGUUUCUUUGGAUGAUCGAGGAAUGUUUUGAUCAAGGUGGGUUUGUGAAUGCCAUGCGAGAAAGCAGCAGUUGCCGGGACAAGGCAUUUAGAAGACGCAAAAGUUUCAAUUGACGGGAUGCCUCAACAGAAUGUGCUCGCAAGAAAAACAAUGAUCAUUCCUUGUUUUACGAACGGAGCACGCUCUUAAAGACGCGAUACGCCUGUUUGAGAGUAUGAGCAUCGUCUUGUCUCUUGUACGGCGUUGAUCCAGGCGUUUGGGAAUAGAGGGCUCCUCUGCCGAUCUUUGAUGGGAUCCGGGCGAUCUUGUCACCGACGUCUUGAAAGAUCUUAGAUUCUAUCCGCAAUCGCCGAGUCCUGGCGAUGGGUGCUGCAUAUCAUUCUGCGUGACGUGAUCUCCAGGAUUUGCGAAGAAGAAGCUCGUCGAUCAGAUGCGCGAUGCUGGCGCGCAAUUGAUUGGGGCUUCCCGCUACAUUUUCCCGCGCUAUCGUCUCUACUUCUCCAUUCUAGGGUUCUUUCUUGGAGGCGACGUAGGUUUUCUAUUGCCCGCGUGGUCGAGGAGACGGCGCUGGGGGGCGGCCUUGAUCGGCGUUCUGGAGCUGCACAGGUAAUGGGACUCGACACUCCGGGUUUUAGAAAUAGGAAGAGGCUCCAGCUUAAGGCUCCGACGAGCAGUGCCAAGGCGAGGAGCCCCAGCCAGCGUUGGUAAAUCGUGGACGACAGGGAGCUCUAGAUGUACGGUGACAACAAAGGUCCCUGCGGCAAAAUGUUCCAUCGGCUGUGGAUCGCCAAAAACUCCCGCAAAAGCUGAGGCUUCUAGGACAGCAAAAAUUCCCGAGGUGAUUGUUGAUAGUGGAGCAGAGGAUUUAGAUGAUUCGGGAGUAGAAAGUGGAGCAAUCGAUGGUGGGGAAGAAGAGGUAAACAAGAUUAUGACUGGAGGAGGAAAUGAUGCCGAGGUGGAAAGAACAACAGUGGUGGAGAGCUCCAUUGAGACUGUCAGGAAACAUGGCGAGGCUGUUUCUAGCGCCUUAGCUGGACUUUCAAUCAGAGGUAGUGCCUUGACCCACGGUAAUCCCGUUAAGAUGGAAACUGGUUGUGGUUCCGUGAAAGCUGAAGCUUCGGUUUCGAUCGCAGCUGGAUGUGAUCCUACGAAAGUAGAUGGCUUGGUGAAGAUGGAAGCUGGUUGUUUUAGAUGCAGAGAGGUGGUGGCUUCUCCAAGAGACUGAAGUUGCCGGGUACUCGACGUCCAGGGGAUGCCGGAUUCGUGUUGGCGAGUUCGUGUCCUUCAAUUUUCCCAAGCCUGAAGUCGAAAGUAAGAAGAAGUUCUUUUGACCACAAGAAGGUUCGGCCGAAAGCGAGCUCCGACAUUGUAAGGUUCUUGACAAAAGCUUCAGGAGAGGUACGUUUCACUUGACUUGUUUCUUCGUUUUAAUUCUAACCAUUUGCUCACAGAUAGGACGGCUUCCAGCCGACUGGGCCAAGUGUUUGAUACCUUUGGGAAGUGCAAAAUGGCACCAGAGGCUCUUUCUCUUAUGAGCAGCAUAGUUCUCCAUUUGAGGUAGAGUUUUCUGUGUUUACCAGAGACGUUACGUAUAUGAUGUGCUUGCAGAGUUUAUAUCAACAAGUCAGAAGCUUACGAGGAGGGGGAUGAGCGCGGAUUGAAGCUUCUGCAAGCUAUCUUGAAGCCGGUAAUGCUUCGAAGAACAAAAUAUUCAACUGAUAAAGAAGGAAGGUAAGCAUUAUUUUCUUUGCACCGUGCCUUGUCUUGUAUUCACUCACAAGUUGGAUUCACAGACCAAUUCUUGUUCUCCAACCGGCUCAAUGUGAAGUUAUUGAAUGCAAACUAUCUGAGCCUGAACGUGAUUUUUAUGAUGCCCUUUACCACAGAUCUAAGGCAUGAAGAACUUCUCUUUCUUUUAUUUUCUCUUUUUUCUGAACACGUUUUUGCUUUUGUGAUCAGGUAAAAUUCGAUCAGUUCGUUGAACAAGGCAAGUUCUUCGUUGAAAAAGCUGGCUAGAUUUUUCUUGGACAAGAAUUCCUCCCAGGUGCCUUCGACGGCGUAUGUCAAAGAGGUAUUCGUAAAGGAGAAAGUGCUGAGUGCCCAAUUUGUUCGGAGAUGCCAGAGGACGCAGUUCUUACAUCGAAUGUGCCGUGAGUGCCUAUUUAAUAGCUGGCGUACUAGCGUCGGAGGUCCCUGUCCAAUAUGCAGGUAACAUUUUUUUUUUUUUUUCGAGAGCUCUUUUCCAUAUCCAUAGCUAUCAUGCAGGCGUUCCUGUACGAAAAAGGAACUCAUAGCUGUACCAACAAGUAAUCGGUUUCGAAUAAAUGUCGAGGAGCAGUGGAAGGAGUCGUCCAAAGUCGAGGCUCUGCUGCACCACCUCCAGACGUUAAGUGAGGCCGGGUCGAAAAGCGUUGUUUUUAGUCAGUGGACAGCGUUUCUCGACUUGUUAGAGAUACCAUUGAAAAGGUACGAGCGUCUUUCCUUUUGGUGCUUUCUCUUUGUUUGUGUUUCUAACAAUGCACUGCCAGGAAGAACUUCUGUUUCGUCCGCUUGGACGGAACACUAUCGCAGCGUCAGUGAGAACAAGUGCUCAAAAACUUCAGCAAUAUUCCAGCCGUGGUGGCCGUAAGCUUUUUGUGUUGCUUACCUCCAAGAAACCACUCUAUUUUGUGGUCAUGCUCAAGCUUUUCUCAUGGUACGCGCUAUAGUUUUCUUUUUUAGCCAUCUUCCGAGUCGAGAAUGUGGACAAUCGAGCAUCAGUCAGACGAAGAACGUAUCGCUCAAGUGAUUCAUCGUCAAAGUAAGCGCCACUUGAAACUCUCUUUGACGUUUCUCAUGUCUCUAGAGCAGGACUCGGUGGAGGAGAGAAUGCAACAGGUCCAAGCGAGGAAGCAGCGAUUGAUCGCGGGGGCUCUCACAGACGAAGAGGUGCCAAGCGCUCGAAUCGGAGAAGAACUGGAGUCCUUAGCAUUUUUUUAACUUAUAGUUAAAGAGGGGAAUAUGCUUCUAGCGUCGGCGCGUAUAUUCUUCGGAUAGUAGGGGUACAAGCAUUUCUAGGUUUCUUCGCGGCUAUGGCGGACAGCGAAGGAGCAGGCGAUCGCGUCGCAAGUGCGUUUGAUUCCGGCAGCAUCGGCGACGAGCAAGGUGCAUGCUAGGAUCGCCUCGGGAAGCAGCAGCAGCGCCGGCGCCGGCGCCGCGCCGCGAUUUCGCUGGCCUAGAGCCGGAGUAGCCGAUCUAGAUUCAUGCAAGCAUAUGAUCUCUAGGAAAUUGAGCUGAACGCUGAGGCUUUGCAGGCGAUCGCGUCGAUUCCUCUCGUCUCCGCGGCCGGGGCGGCUAGAAAGCCGGGGCGCAUUCUAGAGUUUCGGGGUUUCUGGGGCGAUCAGUCAUGUAGCGGGCAGUGAUUCUCUCACAGGAGCUGGAAGUCAGCCAUGACGUGGAAGCAGUAGCAGCUACAGGACCCAGCAGUCGCAGCUCACGGUCCCUGCCACAGCUUUGCUCCUUCUGGAGCACCUGGAGGAGGAGGAGAAGGUCCUCCUCCACGACCACUCUACGUCCCAGCAACAAGAUUUGGUGGGUGGUCACCUCACUUCCAACGGCACCAAGACGCAGAGUCCAAAUGACCUCCUUGGACGUUUGUGGGCUGCUCUUCCGUCGUCAAGCCACACUUUGUUUGACGGAGAAAGCGAACGCAAGACGUCAGCCCGGAGCUUUGGCGUUGAAGUGAACGAGAUGUCCCGGGAAGUCGAUGGAGGUGGAGCUGCUGGUUUCGCACUUUUGAAGCGAAGGGGAUCGGAGCUUGCCGCCUCGCACUACCUUUAAACGGCUACGACUAUAACGACUCUAAUAAGCCGAGGACAAACUCAGCAUCCGGAAGACUACAGGACUAUCGUGGGAGAUACGUAAAUGGAGAGGCCGAAUUUGAGCGCGGAGGCGAUGAGGUCGAGGUACCGGUCGUGCAGACGCCAGACGCGGUGCUCGGGGUGCUGUUGGCCAGUGCAUUGCGGUAAAUGAGAGGCAUAAAGAUGCUGAUCCAAGUGACAUCACCUCCUGCGAUAUCUCUGAUGGAAGGGACGAGUCGCUUAAAUCUUCAAACGGGUCUCAGUCGAAUGCUAGGAGAAAACAUCAACAGGAAUGGAGGAUAAAACAGGCUGACUCAAAGGCAGCAUUUCCAGCGGAGGAAAAACCGGACUACAAGGUUGCAAAGGCACGGUCUUUGGCAUCUCAACUUGAACGUCUAGGCUUGCCAUCGGGAAGUAUGCAAAACUCUUCCGUUGGCGCGGCUUUUGAGGAGUCCAAACAGAGGCUCCAUAAUCUAGAUGCUUUGGAAGGAGAAGGCGUGACGACCUCUCUAGAUCUCGAGGAGCUACAAAUUGACGGUCACCGUCGUGAGGGUAAAGCUCCACAGUUUUACAAGGUUUGUGCUUGCUUUUUUUCUUUCUCUAUUUUCAUGUGUUUGUAUCUCUGGUUACAGCCGAAGGAGAACCGUUUCAGGACCUCUGAAGAACUAAAGGUAUGCAUAUGCAUAUUCUUAAUAUUGUUAUGUUUUCCAUGUUUUACCAUUUACUCUAUACACCAGAUUUUAAAAUACUCAAAACCACGAGAGUAAAGUAAUAUCCUGAGAAUACGAUUUGUAAGAAAAACAGAAACUGUGUCUUCUCCAAACGCUGCUGACGGCUUGGAAAUCUCUGUUUUUGUUUUUUGAGUGAUGCAAAAUAGUGUAGCAUUUGCGCAGAUCGAGAACCCAAUCGAUGUCCACUGAAGGAGCAAGGUUUAAUCCCAGAAUGUUAUCUGGAGAUCCGGCCGCUCCUCAAGCCAUGGUGGAACUUUCGUACCUUUUUGGCAGCAUAGGACUUUGAGCCUGGGAAAUAAGCCAAGGCCGUGAUCGUCUGAACUCAAUUGGGGCCACACUACAUCAUCAUGAUCAGCGAGCUCAAGAACCUCCAAUCCUGGAAGGGAUGCAAUGGAUGAUGGAAUAUUUUCGAUCGUAAACAAGGUUACACCUCUUAGAGCAGUCAUCUGGUCUGUUGGCUCAAAGAAAUCAUUGGGGAGCUGCCUCAUACAGCUCAAAAAUAAUGUGAACCGUUCCACCUUCAGCUGUGAUCUCUCGGUUGGCAUCAAGAGUCUCCUCAUGUAACCUUGUACAUGCAGCAAAUCAAGGUCAUUGGGGAGUUGUGUCACAAAGAGAGGCAAAUGCUCCCAUGUAUUAUCAGGAGCCAGAUAGAAUGUUAAACUCUUCAGGUUUGGAAGACUUGCUGCCAAAUCAUCCUUGAACUCCGACUGUGCAAUGUGCAGAUUUUGAAGCUCCAGCCAUUCGAGGCAUGGGAACAAUCCAUCCAGACUGAAGAACUGGAUACCACUGCAGUCUAUGUAAAGUUCUUGUAGCCGUUGAAAGCCCUUUAGCCAAGACAGGUCUUUCAUUGUCCCCAUCCUUAAAUAUUGGAGCUGUGGCCAUUCAAGGGUUUCGGCAUUGUUUUCACCGUCUUGUACCCCGUCGAUUGAAAAGUGCUGAAGCUGGUUGGAAUUCUUAAACAUUCGCUUCCAGUCAAGUUUGAUAGUCGAUUCCACAUAAAUGUGACAUCGUCUUAGAUUGACAAGUUGCCACGGGCCUGUGAAAUCGCCAAAGUCCAUGCUCUUUGCACGCAACUCCAGUUUCUCAAUGUGCACUAGUGCACCAAGGCUGUGAGGUAUUUUUAUUGUUGCCUUGUGGAGGCCUAGCUCUAAAUGUCUUAGCUUGUGUAGGCUUGAAAUUCCACUCAAAUCCACAGCUAACUCCUUACCGAAUUGAAGCUUCAGCUCUUCCAAGUUGAAUAAUUGGGGCAGUAAUGCAAAGUUGAAUUUUGUGGUAUCAUCGCAUUUCAAAACCUUCAGUGAUGUCAAGCUGAAGAGCGCAUCUGGGAAUAUUGUCACACUUGAACAGGACACGCUUGAAUAUCGAAGGUCAAGCACUUGAAGGUUUCUCAGCUUGGAUAUGCUCUCUGGAAUAAAACGGACCAAAUUAUAGCUUUCAUUCAAGCUCAAUACCUUGACAUUUUGGAUGUGAUCUAUAAUAAGACUGACAUCCACACCAGAAAUUCCAUAACAUCCAUCGAGAAGCAAGACAUCUCGCACAUGAAUGUCAGACAAAAGGCUGCUUGUAACCUUCUUUCCAAUGAAUGAAACUUUAGAAAAUGUUGGAGAAAUCCCAGGUGGACAAUCAUAGCCAAACAGGCAUCCCUUCUCGUGCUCUUCCUGGGGUGGGUACUUCCCUUUCAAGAUUCUUAUGCACAGCUUGCGUACCAUAUCGUGCACAGUUACAUACUUACGCCAUUGAUCAUCAGUUGUCUUCACUAGGCAUCUUCGUUCCAGUUCACUAACAAUCUGCAGAGGCGAGAGUUCUGACCCAACCGCUAUCCAACAUUUUCUCAGAUCAUCAAAGUGGAUUGGCCAAUCUUCUGGAAACGCAGCCACAUAGAGAAAGCACUCUUGCAGCUUUUCAUCCUUAUUAGACAGCUCGUCAUAGCUAAACUUCAAGCGCUGGAACAUCCGCUUCUCAAUGUCCCCGUCAUUCAACAAAUGCAUCUUCUGAUAGCAUUCUUUCCACACCUGCGGCCCUUUGUUCCUGUAGACAGCCAUGGCACUGCCAAUCACUUCAAGAGCUAAAGGGAGCCCCUCACAUUUGCUAGCUAUUCUCUCGGCAACUUUCACAAUGUCCGGAUCACUAGGUAGUGAAUCAUAAAAGGCAAACUUCCAAAACAUCUUUUUGCUCUCGUCCUCUGAUAGCUCAUGCACAGGAAAUGCCUUUGCACCCAGCAUGCUCAAAAUGCCUUCCUUUCUGGUUGUUACCAGCACCCGGCUGUAAGAGGACGGCCCUGCUAUAAAAUCCAGUCCCUUGGCCCAGCUCAUUUGCCACACAUCAUCCAGUAUCAGCAAGGCACGAAUUCCACGAGCAACAUUUUGUGCCAAAUGCUGCACAUGCUCAAGGGUGCCUGCAUUUUGGGCCCUCUCUCUCAUGCCGCCCCAUUCAAGAGCAUUCAGGAGCUGGGCCCUGAGAUCGUCCUCCGAUGCAUCUUUCUUGACAGUAAUCCACACAAUGUUGUCAUGGAAAUGCUGCCGGACCCUCUGGUCAUUGUUCACGAAUCUUGCAAGGGUGGUCUUGCCACACCCUCCCAUUCCCAGGAGUCCAAACCAUUUCCCCGGGGCUUGUGGAUCCAGGAGGGCAUUCACCACCUCAUCCAGCUGCUCCCCAUGGCGGCCAAACAUGUCGCUGGGCUCGGUAACACCAUGCCGUACAUAGUUUACGAGACCUCUGUCUUGUGGACAACUCCGUACGGAAAAGCUGGUGCUCGGCUGUAUCACUCUCAACUCUUCUCGCUCGUACCUUUCAAUCUGCGGGAGGAGAUCGUUCUCGCAAGUGCGUACCAGCUCCGAAAUCGCGCCAGAUCGCUUCUCCCUGCGCGACAGAUCCAUCUUUUAGCUCCAUUGCUUCAAACAUGAAUUCGAAUAAGCCUUACUGUGAUCCAAGCAGCGCUUGCGCCCUCGCAGUCCAUUCAGUCAGUUCAGUCAGCCACGCCUCAGCCUCACCAGAGUAGCGGAAAUCUGGAUUCUUGUGCUUGGGAGCAUUAAACUUGUCAAGCGUGGCCUGGAUUCUGGAUGUCUUCUUUAGCUCCUCAAUGUGGACAUUCAGCUCAUGCUCGUGACCCUGGAUCUGCGACAGGAGAUCGCCGUGGGCACUUAAGGACUUCGCGAUCUCGUCACUCCGCUUGUACCUAUAGGAAGUGGAGAAGUUCAACCAGCUGCCUGCCAUUUCUACACACACACACACACAAAAGAUAAAAUGCUACUGUACCGACCGCUUUAUGGGGCUCCAGAUCCUGUUGUGGCGUGAUCCCAAGAGUGCUUGUGCCUUGGUGUUCCAUUUCCUGACACGCUCCAAGCAUUCCUCGGCCGCUUGAGAGAACAUAAAGCCAGGUCCAUUUCGCUCCUUGUGGUGAUCGAAAGCGUUGAUCUUGGCCUGGAUGUGGUGCGCCUUGUUCUCCAGCGUUUCAAUGUUGGCAUUGCAGUCCCAUAUCUUCUUAGCAGGGCCCAGAGCCAAGCCACACAAGGCGCUUGCCAAGGAGCCCACACCCUCCAUGCCUGUAGACCUACAAGUAAAGGUCGUCUCCCAGAACUCCUGGCCUUGGUAUCCCCUUUUAAAAUGGACAGUAAUUUUCAGAGAGGUAUAAGCUGUUACAAAGGUAAAUUGGAGUUGACUGCUUGCAGUAGAGCGAGUAGAGGACCUCGUGCAGCACCCUCCCUCUUGCAAUGCCAGCUGUGACCAAUUGGAGUUGAUUGCUUGCAGUAGAGGGCCUCGGGCAGCACCCUCCCUCUUGCAAUGCCUCUCUCUCUCUCUCUCUCUCUCUCUCUCUCUAAGAAGAAGACCUUUGAGCACAUGGGCUCGUCUGAAAGCAUGCUCCGACAUUGUAAGUUUCUCCAGGAGAGGUAACUUUUGUCGCUUUGUUUAGGACGCCUUCCAGCUGACUGGGCCACGUGUUUGAUUGCUUUGGGUCAGGAAAACGUACUCUGGGUCAUCGUUCACUAUUUUUGAGACGAGAAAUGUAUAUGGUUUAUUUUGUAAUGGAAAACAAUAUACUUUUGAACUAGGAUAGUUUAUAUGUUUUAAUAUAGUUAACACUUUGGAACUUGAUUUAUAAUAUUAAGGACAUCAAGAAUUAUUUUAAAAUUGGACUGAAACUUGGUUUUCUUUAUGGAUGACAUUGUAGUUGAUGAUUUCAUGAAUAAUAGACCAAUGAGAAUGGGAAGUGUGUUAUCUUCCUUCCAAAACCCAUUUUCAAAUUACAUAUAAAAGAUGUACAUUCAUGUAAUUUAUCUGUGACAAUAUUCUUUUGAUAAGAGCAUAAGUUGUGUCAUUUAACAAACAUAUGAUGUUUUUAACUGGAACUUUUAUGAAAAAAUUCCCACACUUCAGUAAAAAAAAAAAAAACAAAUUUAUAUUAUUCUUAUUUGCUGCUGAAUGUCCUCUAUUAAUUCUAUAUGAGUUGGGAUUGUUGAUUACAACUUCCAUCCAUAUGACAUAUAAAUGUUCUAUUGCAAACACCUUUACCACAUAUUUAAUUCUUCUUUGGAUCCUCAUAAUAUAAUCAAUUGCCACUUCUAUAGGAUUGUCUAUUCUUACUUCUAUAAUAUUGUCUUUAUUGUGGGCACGUUUUGGAAAUUUGUGAUAAACUACAUCCAAAACUAAAUAAAAGUUUGUUAUAGUAUGGCACAAUGCAAACUUCUCUAACUAGAGCAUCCAUUAGUAAGAUGCAAGUAUGAUUAAAUUGAAUAUUCUCUAAAACUAGAAUAUAAGAACCUAUGUGGUGAUAUUUCAUUAGAGUUCUUCUUGGUCCACCUGCAUAGUAACUGAGAAAAAUCAUUAGUUUCUACCAAAGAAAUAGAUAGAUAGACAAUUUCUCACUAAUAGUAUUUAACACAAAUAAAGACUUCGAUUGCCUCUCUAAUCCCAACUAAGAAUAUCUUUAUAAUUUGAGUAAAACAUAUAUCACUUGGAAAACCAUACAAUUAUAAGUAUGACAUAUAAUAUGAUUAUUACAAACUUACCACCAUAGUUAUGUUUUGCUUUUGCACUAUGGCCCUAGCAUGUAUAACCACAAUUUUUAAUUCUUCCUCCUCCAAGACAUUUUCUUCAACCAAAUUAUCAUUAAGUAAACUAUCCAUCACUACCUCCAACAUCACUUGUGACAAAUAUAAUGUUCUUCCAUAAAUCAUAUCCAAACCCAUUUACUGGAUUAUAUAGUUUUUACUUUCCCUCUAAAUCCACUCUAUUAUUUUCUAUUGUGCUAACUUGUGCAUUUUUAGUGAGAAUAAGUGUUUACCUAUGGUUAUAAAAAGUAGAUUUGGUGAAAAAAUAACCUUUUGGUGCUUUUGUUGCAACACAUAAUAGACAACAAUAAUUUUUCUUUCUUUUUUGCUUUGGUUUGGUAUAAACUAUUGAUAUGUGCCAUCUUUUGGCUAACCUAGUGAUUUCAAUCCUUACAUAAGUAUUGCAACAAACAUUACAAGGCAAACACACUUUUGCAAAACUUGUGAAAUUUAAAAAUACACAAUUAUCACAUAUCUUUUAGUGUUUUUAAUGUUGUCAUCCUUGUGGUUUUUUGCUGCUUUCUUUCAAAAAUAUAAUAUUGUUACAAAUAUUUUUUUUGAGGUAUUUUUUAAGUCCUUAUUUAGCAAAUUCAUGAUGGAGGUAAAGAAGAUAAAUUGCCCAAUCCGUGAUGCUUUUUGGGAUUGAGCUCAUAAGUAACGUUUGAUAAAUAUAAAACAUAGUAAGGUUAAGGCUUUGUACUUAUUUUUAUUGAUAUAAGUUUCUUUAUUUUGGUAUCAUGCUUAUUUUAACAAAUUUUUUUGACUCUUUGAGUUAAGUAAGGAUCAUUUGCUCUUCUCUAAUGCUAUAAAGGUUUUAGUAAAGAUCCAGCUCAUAUCCUUGUGCAUCCAAUGUGCCAACUAUGUUUUUAAGUGAUUUUUAUUUGGUUUUGGAAAUCUUUUAUCUACAAUUCACAUAUACACUACUAUAUGUGUUGCUAGAGCUUACCAUUGCAUCCACAAUAACAUUAACAUGUCUUUAAUUGAUCUUGACAUGAUGCAAACUAAAUGACUGUAUUCAAGAAUGCCCUAUGAUUUGCAAAUGAUUUUGGACUUGGAAAAUGGUUGAGGUUGUGAUUGGUGGCAUAGUUAGCAUGCUGUUGUUUUACAUUAUAAUAAGGUCCACUCACUAUAGUGCUAUUUUGCUUGCAAAGCAAUUAAAACUAGUAAAGUGAUGUUUUUAAUUAUACAUUUUUAAAAAUAUUUAUGUAUUUUGAUUAUUAGGAUAUAAGUUGUGGCUUGAUUUUAGAAGAAACUCCAUACCCCAGAAGUAAUUUAAGAAGAAAAAUAGUCCAAUAAUGCAAUUAUGGAGAUAGAAAGUCUCUCUAGAGAGACCACAAUAUUAGAUAUGGUAACAAAUAAAUUUGAUUUUAGAGAAAGUGAAGCAGAAGUUUUUAGUGCACAUAGUUAUAAUAGCAUAAUUAGUUAAAAUCAAUAUAGGUUUGUUAAUCAAUUUAUAUACAUUUGAACUUCCCACGUAUGAGCUAAGGUUUGCAUAGUAGAGUUUAGUGGGUGGCAAGAUUGUAGAGAUGCUAAGUUUUGUAUCUUUCCAUUGUUGUAGUUAAAUCGACGAGUUGAGAUAAGGUAAGUAAUGGGUAAAAAUACAUAAAGUGAAUCCUUUUUUUUUCUUUAAAUGUUUAUGACCCUAGCAAGAUUGAAUGAACCAUCUAGCAAGGGAUUGUGUAAAUAUAUUGAGAGUGUUUAUUUAGCUAGAGUGUUGCCAAACUUCAUUAACAAGAUUAAGAGUGAUGGAUUUUUUAGAGAGGACUAUUUCAAACUCAACAUUUUGAUAUGGAUGAGCAUUGGAGCAAAAAUGGGGGAUGCAAUCCAAAUGACAAAGACACUCAAGAAUCUCAAUGAUUCAUCGGAGUAGGUAUGCAAUAAAAGGCAUGCCCAAAAUAAAAGCCCUUUACGAAGACAAUAGUGCGAGCUAACACCCACUCAAAAACAAAACACACCAAGUCAAGGAUUAUAAUAGUGGCAACUAAGGUUUGCAACACCAAUUUUCAAUGUUAAAAAAUACUCCAAGCGCUUACUAAAUUUCCCAUUAGCUUUAUUUGGCAAGAAUUUACUUUAUGAGUUAUUAUAAAUCUUUCCUAACUACAAAAAAGGAUACUUCAAAUGUGAAAGGCAAGUGGAGCAAAGAAUUAAGCUCAAUCAAAAGAGGAUACUUCAAAUGUAAAAGGAAAGUGGAGCAAAGAACUAAGUUAAUUAAGUCAGUUCAUGAGUGCAAAUUGGAUAACCAUGCCUUUUGUGUUUGUGAGUUCAAGAUAAAAAAGAUCUUCAUUGUAUUGCGGUAUCAACUUAAAAAAGCAGUGGUUGUUAAAAUAGAGCAAAUAAAAGUGUUUAUAAAAUACUUAUAUGACUAGAGUGUUAUAGAUCUCCUUGCAUUUAAGUCAAAUAUGAGGUUGGUAUUGAUAGAUCUUGAGUUUUUUAAGGUACAAACCAUAUUAGUUUCAAUGGAAAAAACCUCAUAGUUUUAAAUAUGGCUUUUGCAAUAUCUUCAAAUAGUAAGGAUAAAAAUUUUAAAUAAAUGGCAAUGAGAAAACUACAAUAGUUAAGAAAGUUUAUAGUGGCACACUCAUUUAAAAGUAUAAAUCCCUACGAGUGAGGAUAAUUUCACUUAUAGAUAAGGAUUUAUUGGCCAAUAUAAAGAUUUUUUUUGCAUGUGAGGUAAAUCUUUUUUAGGAUGACAUUUUAAAAUUAUGCUCAACACUAAAGAAAGAAGUAUGCACUAAUUUUAAAUUUUAAGUUCAGAAGAUGUUUUGGCCUAAGUGCAUAAAGGCCAUUGUCAUUGGUAAGGAUAAUGAAAAAACUAUUAAAGAGGUAUUCUUUUAAAAAUGAUUUUAUAGUUUUUAAUUUUUGUUUGUGCAGCUCCAGACUAAAUCAUAUGGCAACGGAUGUGAGGAGCAACCCCUAUACCCUACUAAACAAGAUUGAUGAAGAUAUAGAGUGUGAGAUUAUAACUAAAGAAAAAAAAUGUAAAUUUCAUAGUAUAACUUAAUUGUAUAUAUUGUCUAAUAUUUUUUGGCUCUAUUUACAAGUAGAAGAACACCUAAAGUGCUUCUAUAAAUAAUUUUUUAUUAAAAUAUAGAUAAUAUUAUAAAAAAAUCUCAUUAUUUUGCAACAAUCUUCACUAAAAAUUGUUGCUUUUUAACUUUUGUGUAUUAACUGUAACUAAUUUAUAUGACUUUGUAACUUUCAUCCAUAAUAGUAGAAGUUCAACUAAUAGCCACAAAUAUUUAUAAGGAGGUUUAAGCUUGUAUAUAUUAUAUAAUAUAACUUUAUUUAUUUUUUUAGUUAACAUUAGCAAAAUUACGAAAAAACAAAAGAGUCCAGAUAAAUGAUAAGAUUACUCUUCCUGUGUAUGAGGCAAAAGAAGUGGAAUACACUAUAAAGGCAUAAAAAGAAUCAACAACUAUUAAUAAAGUAAUAUAAUAACAAAUUAAUAUAAUUAGUUUUAUUUUUUUCACUCAAACUUAGCAAAUACUUGCAAAAAAUUUUUAAACUAAACAUAGUAAUUCUAGAAAAUUAGUGAAAUUGCUCUUUGAAUUUAACCUUUCUUUUGCUAACAUGAAGUAAUUCUAUAAGAAUGAGAACCAUAUUUAUAAGUUGCCAAAUGCCCACAAAAUUAAAACUGAGUAAACCUUAAAGAAUAUUGUUGAGCAAAGUGUGAAGUUUGAAUAACUGAUUAUAUCUAAAGAGGCCUUAUCCAUAAAUACUUGGAUUACAUUAAAAAAUUAAAAUGUAAAUAAAACCAUAUCUAUAAAUAUGGUUCUAUAUAUAAAAAUUUAUAUGCAACACUAUAUUUGAAUUAUGAAUAAAAUUAUGUGAACAAAAUUGGCAAACAUUAGUUUCCAAACUAUAUAUGUAUCAGUAAACUAUAUACAAAAGUAUAUGUCCAUUUAUUCUCAAAAUACAACUCAAUCAUAUUCAAAAUUAUACAAAAAGCCAUUCCUCGUGAUUGCCAAAUAGCACAUAAAUCAUGAUGAAAACUAUGUACAAAACCAUUAGUGGUUGUGGUCCCAAAACCAAUGCAUUAACAAUUAAGAAACCAGUCAUGAAACCAUUAAAAUCACAUAUGGUUUAACCACAAACACAACCAUUUUGUUUUGGUACUAGUUAUAGUAAAAAAACCAUGUUGAUGAGCAUAUUGUGGUUGUGGUGCUAGACAACACUAUAUGGCAUGGCAUCUGGCAGCCAGAUGUCUUUCCCAUGGAGAUGAAGGCCAAGGUGUUGGAACCUUUGGUGGAUCACAGCUGGAAAAAUCAAAGUACUUGAUAAUGGAGAAGAAAAUUUGUGCACCUUGACUUGAAUCAUGAUCUGCUCCACAAGUUGUUGUGACAGCCAUCAAGGCAAUUUUGACGCUAAAUCAUCUUUGCAACCGGCAAGAACAACAUUCUAGGAGUAGUGGCUCAAGGUGCUGUUUUAAAUAUCCUUGCAAAAUGUUUGCACUAUGCAAAACACACAAUACCCAUUCCUCAUUGAAACGCCAUCAUUUGCUCUCACUCACUUGUUUUCUUUUGCAUCUCCACUCAGUGAGCUGCUAAGCUUCCUUAGAUUAUCAUCUGGAGGAAGUAGGGAAUUCACAGCAUAGAGUUUUGGAGUUGAAGUGUUGUUGGGAUGUUAAGUAUGAAGCUCAAAUUGCAUAUGCAUUGUAUUUUUCUGGUAUGUUGUUGUUGUGGUAUUUUUUUUCCCAAUAUGUCUGUGGUACAAUGUGGCUUGGUUUGUAAGGAGUCCUCGCACUUCCUAGUCCAUUUCUCGUCACAGGGUCUUUUAGUGGUAAUAAAUUCCCACUCGAAGAUAAUAUAAGCAAGGAACUAGUGGUUUCCAGAAGCCGAGUUUAUUCGUCCCCAGUUUUUAAGUUGGAAAGUUGCAAGAGGGAGACUGCACAGGUGAUGGAAUUCUGCUGCUGUGCUCAUCAGCAAAACUUGAGCACCCGAGUUGGAUCGACCGGGGAUAAGAAACUGGGAGGCUGUAUCAAACGUCAUCCUGGCAUAUGACCAAAACGCUUAAGCAAAGAGGUUGUUUCUUUUGAUGAUUUAUCCAGAGAGUUGCUUCUCGUGUAACAUUUUGAUCAAGGGGUUUGUGGAUGCCGGGAAGCAGCAUUUGCCCUGGCAUGGCAUUUGGAAGAAGCAAAGGGUUUCGUUUGAUGCAAUGCCUCAGUAUGACGUGCUCGCAAGAAACACAAUGGCCACUCUAUUUAUACAAACAGAAAACCUUGAACACACAAAGUACAGGUUGUCUCUUUUGCAAAGUUGAAAGGUUUUCUCCCAGAAAGAAGCACAAUAUUAACUCUUGGCCUUGUAGAUCGGAAUCAUACUGUUCUUCACUUUUUUCAACUCUCUCUCUCUCACACACACACACUAAUACCGUUUUGAGCAGCUGUUCUUCCAUCCAGGCAUUUGCUGUUUUGGUUCAAUUUUGCUUAAACACCAGCGACCUUCACGACAUAAGAGCUAGAUUGAUUCACAGUGAGCACCACAACGAUCGCUACCUCGCCAAUCUCAUCGUCCAAAAGUAUGGGGAGCUGUGGGGUGCUCGACGGAUCAUCGCUGGCUCUUGCGGAACAUCUUGCUGGGAAAAAUCGGUUGAGCGGAGAUCCAAGAGGGAUGUGGUCGCAUGGAACUUGAUCCUCGCAGCGUAUGCCUAAAACGCUCAGUCAAAAGAGAUGUUUCUUUGGAUGAUCGAGGAAUGUUUUGAUCAAGGUGGGUUUGUGAAUGCCAUGCGAGAAAGCAGCAGUUGCCGGGACAAGGCAUUUAGAAGACGCAAAAGUUUUAAUUGACGGGAUGCCUCAACAGAAUGUGCUCGCAAGAAAAACAAUGAUCAUUCCUUGUUUUACGAACGGAGCACGCUCUUAAAGAUGCGAUACGCCUGUUUGAGAGUAUGAGCAUCGUCUUGUCUCUUGUACGGCGUUGAUCCAGGCGUUUGGGAAUAGAGGGCUCCUCUGCCGAUCUUUGAUGGAAUCCGGGCGAUCUUGUCACCGACGUCUUGAAAGAUCUUAGAUUCUAUCCGCAAUCGCCCAGUCAAUGCGAUCCUGGCGAUGGGUGCUGCAUAUCAUUCUGCGUGACGUGAUCUCCAGGAUUUGCGAAGAAGAAGGUCGUCGAUCAGAUGCGCGAUGCUGGCGCGCAAUUGAUUGGGGCUUCCCGCUACAUUUUCCCGCGCUAUCGUCGCUACUUCUCCAUUCUAGGGUUCUUUCUUGGAGGCGACGUAGGUUUUCUAUUGCCCGCGUGGUCGAGGAGACGGCGCUGGGGGGCGGCCUUGAUCGGCGUUGUGGAGCUGCACAGGUAAUGGGGCUCAACACUCCGGGUUUUAGAAAUAGGAAGAGGCUCCAGCUUAAGGCUCCGACGAGCAGUGCCAAGGCGAGGAGCCCCAGCCAGCGUUGGUAAAUCGUGGACGACAGGGAGCUCUAGAUAUACGGUGACAACAAAGGCCCCUGCGGCAAAAUGUUCCAUCGGCAGUGGAUCGCCAAAAACUCCUGCAAAAGCUGAGGCUUCUAGGACAGCAAAAGUUGCCGAGGUGAGCAAUGAUAGUGGAGCAGACGAUUUAGAUGAUUCGGGAGUAGAAAGUGGAGCAAUCGAUGGUGGGGAAGAAGAGGUAAACAAGAUCAUGACUGGAGGAGGAAACGAUGCCGAGGUGGAAAGAACAACAGUGGUGGAGAGCUCCAUUGAGACUGUCAGGAAACAUGGCGAGGCUGUUUCUAGCGCCUUAGCUGGACUUUCAAUCAGAGGUAGUGCCUUGACCCACGGUAAUCCCGUUAAGAUGGAAGCUGGUUGUGGUUCCGUGAAAGCUGAAGCUUCGGUUUCAAUCGCAGCUGGAUGUGAUCCUAUGAAAGUAGAUGGCUUGGUGAAGAUGGAAGCUGGUUUUGAGUCUGCAAGAGUCGAAGCUCCGGUUGGCUCAGUGAAGAUGGAACCUGGUUAUGAUACUGUGAAAGUUGAAACUCCAUUCGGGGGUGGUAAAGCUGCCCAUUUGUGUGAAGCGAAGGUGGUUCCAAUAGAAAAUGACACGGCUAAAGCUGCAGAGAAGCAACCGGUUGUUUUAGAUGCACAGAGGUGGUGGCUUCUCCAAGAGACUGAAGUUGCCGGGUACUCGACGUCCAGGGGAUGCCUGAUUCGUGUUGGCGAGUUCGUGUCCUUCAAUUUUCCCAAGCCUGAAGCCGAAAGUAAGAAGAAGUUCUUUGAGCGCAAGAAGGUACGGCCGAAAGCGAGCUCCGACAUUGUAAGGUUCUUGACAAAAGCUUCAGGAGAGGUACGUUUCACUUGACUUGUUUCUUCGUUUUAAUUCUAACCAUUUGCUCACAGAUAGAACGGCUUCCAGCCGACUGGGCCAAGUGUUUGAUACCUUUGGGAAGUGCAAAAUGGCACCAGAGGCUCUUUCUCUUAUGAGCAGCAUAGUUCUCCAUUUGAGGUAGAGUUUUCUGUGUUUACCAGAGACGUUAUUGUGAAGUUAUUGAAUGCAAACUAUCUGAGCCUGAACGUGAUUUUUAUGAUGCCCUUUACCACAGAUCUAAGGCAUGAAGAACUUCUCUUUCUUUUAUUUUCUCUUUUUUCUGAACACGUUUUUGCUUUUGAGAUCAGGUAAAAUUCGAUCAGUUCGUUAAACAAGGUAAAGUUCUCCAUAACUAUGCCUCGAUCCUCGAACUGCUACUUCGAUUACGGCAAGCUUGUGAUCAUCCUUUUCUUGUUCUGAGGUAGAAAAUGCAUCCUCUUAUGUCUGAAGUUCCUGACGUUUUCUUCGUCACGCAGCCGUGGCGAUACUGAAGACUUUGCGGACCUGGGAAAGCUGGCUAGACGUUUCUUGGACAAGAAUUCCUCCCAGGUGCCUUCGACGGCGUAUGUCAAAGAGGUGGUGGAUGAUAUUCGUAAAGGAGAAAGUGCUGAGUGCCCAAUUUGUUUGGAGAUGCCAGAGGACGCAGUUCUUACAUCGAAUGUAAGACUUUCUCAAGAGUGGUGGGGGCGACGAGCAGCUGAGGAGCAGUAGCAGCUACAGGACCCAGCAGUCGCAGCUCACGGUCCCUGCCACAGCUUUGCUCCUUCUGGAGGAGGAGGAGAAGGUCCUCCUCCACGACCACUCUACGUCCCAGCAAUAAGAUUUGGUGGGUGGUCACCUCACUUCCAGCAGCACCAAGACCCACUUUUCCCUUCGGAUCCAUUCUUGACUCCGUCGGACCACUGAUUUCUACGCUCGUUUGCUCCUCUUCCAGUCGAGAGACCGUUCCAUCCGCCAGUGCUGUAUCCUUUUCCGAAUGCUCCGACUUUCCAGCCUGCUGAUAAUGUGGUUCAUCCGGCGCAUUCCUCUGGGGAGCUUAAAGCUCGUCCUGGCCUUCACUUCGAGUCUCCGGUGUUUCGACCCAGCGCAGCAGAGACCUCGGACUUCAAACGCGCCCCAGAGCAGCCGAGGAGAUCGGUUACACCUGCGAAGGAUGACAAGCAACAAUUCCACGGCAAUGGUUCCGAGCUCCUUCAGUUGUUACAGGGUGGUCCUGGUCGUGUGAAGCCCACAGCCUCCACAAAGGUGGAUGCUACACAGGACAGUGGGGAUUCUGGAGAGCCAUCAAAGAAAGGAAGUCCAUCUGCUGUUCACGGCCCCAUAGGACCGCCGAGGCGUCAUGUCGUUUCUCCUCCGCAGAGUCCAAAUGACCUCCUUGGACGUUUGUGGGCUGCUCUUCCGUCGUCAAGCCACACCUUGUUUGGCGGAGAAAGCGAACGCAAGACGUCAGCCCGGAGCUUUAGCGUUGAAGCGAACGAGAUGUCCCGGGAAGUCGAUGGAGGUGGAGCUGCUGGUUUCGCACUUUUGAAGCGAAGGGGAUCGGAGCCUGCCGCCUCGCACUACCUUUAAACGGCUACGACUAUAACGACUCUAAGACAAAUGAUAAGCCGAGGACAAACUCAGCAUCCGGAAGACUACAGGACUAUCGUGGGAGAUCCGUAAAUGGAGAGGCCGAAUUUGAGCCCGGAGGCGAUGACUUUAGAGGUGCGGGAAGGCGUCGAGGUACCGGUCGUCCAGACGCCAGACGCGGUGGUCGGGGUGCUGUUGGCCAGUGGAUUGCGGUAAAUGAGAGGCAUAAAGAUGCUGAGCCAAGUGACAUCACGUCCUGCGAUAUCUCUGAUGGAAGGGACGAGUCGCUUAAAUCUUGAAACGGGACUUAGUCGAAUGCUAGGAGAAAACAUCAACAGGAAUGGAGGAUAAAACAGGCCGACUCAAAGGCAGCAUUUCCAGCGGAGAAAAAACCGGACUACAAGGUUCCAAAGGCACGGUCUUUGGCAUCUCAACUUGAACGUCCAGGCUUGCCAUCGGGAAGUACGCAAAACUCUUCCGUUGGCGCGGCUUUUGAGGAGUCCAAACAGAGGCUCCAUAAUCUAGAUGCUUUGGAAGGAGAAGGCGUGACGACCUCUCUAGAUCUCGAGGAGCUACAAAUUGACGGUCACCGUCGUGAGGGUAACACUCCACAGUUUGACAAGGUUUGUGCUUGCUUUUUUUCUUUCUUUAUUUUCAUGUGUUUGUAUCUCUGGUUACAGCCGAAGGAGAACCGUUUCAGGACCUCUGAAGAACUAAAGGUAUGCAUAUGCAUAUUCUUAAUAUUGUUAUGUUUUCCAUGUUUUACCAUUUACUCUAUACACCAGAUUUUAAAAUACUCAAAACCACGAGAGUAAAGUAAUAUCCUGAGAAUACGAUUUGUAAGCAAAACAGAAACUAUGUCUUCUCCAAACGCUGCUGACGGCUUGGAAAUCUCUGUUUUUGUUUUUUGAGUUAUGCAAAAUAGUGUAGCAUUUGCGCAGAUCGAGAACCCAAUCGAUGUCCACUGAAGGAGCAAGGUUUAAUCCCAGAAUUUUAUCUGGAGAUCCGGCCGCUCCUCAAGCCAUGGUGGAACUUUCGUAGCUUUUAGGCAGCGUAGGACUUUGAGCCUGGGAAAUAAGCCAAGGCCGUGAUCGUCUGAACUCAAUUGGGGCCACACUACAUCAUCAUGACCAGAGAGCUCAAGUUCCUCCAAUCCUGGAAGGGAUGCAAUGGAUGAUGGAAUAUUUUUGAUCCCCAUCAAGUGCGCCCAUCUUAAAAGAGUCAUCUGGUCUGUUGGCUCAAAGAAAUCAUUGGGGAUACAGCCCUUCCACAAAAAUAAUGUGACGCAUUUCACCUUCAGCUGUGAUCUCUCGGUUGGCAUCAAGAGUCUCCUCAUGUAACCUUCUACAUCCAGUUCAUCAAGGUCUUUGGGGAGUUGUGUCACAAAGAGAGGCAAAUGCUCCCAUGUAUUAUCAAGAGCCACAACGAAUGUUAACCUCUUCAGAUUUGGAAGACUUGCUGCCAAAUCAUCCUUGAACUCCGACUGUGCAAUGUGUAGAUUUUCAAGGCCCAGAAAUUCAAGGCAUGGGAACGAUCCAUCCAGACUGAAGAACUGGAUACCACUGCAGUCUAGGUGAAGUUCUCGUAGCCGCUGAAAGCCCUUUAACCAGGACAGGUCUUUCAUUGUCUCAUUGUUCCUGAUGGUUAACAAUUGUAGCUGUGGCCAUUCAAGGCUUUCGGCAUUGUUUUCACCGUCUUGAACCCCGUCAAUCGAAAAGCCCUCAAGCUGUUUGGAAUUCUUAAACAUUCGCUUCCAGUCAAGUUUGAUAGUCGAUUUCACCAUAAUCUCACAUCGUUUCAGAUUGACAAGUUGCCACGGGCCGGUGAAAUCGCCAAAGUCCAUGCUCUUUGCGCACAACUUCAGUUUCUCAAUGUCCACUAGUGCACCAAGGCUGCGAGGUAUUUUUAUUGUUGCAUUGUAGAGUGUUAGCGUUAAAUGUCUUAGCUUGUGUAGGCUUGAAAUUCCACUCAAAUCCACAGCCAGAGCUAACUCCUUAAAGGAUACAAGCUCCAGCUCUUCCAAGUCGAAUAAUUGGGGCAGUAAUGCAAAGUUGAGAUUUCUGGUAGCCUUGCAUUUCAAAACCUUCAGUGAUGUCAAGCUGAAGAGCGCAUCUGGCAAUUGAGGCACAUCAUCGUAGGAUGGAAGGUGAAGCACUUGAAGGUUUCUCAGCUUGGAUAUGCUCUCUGGAAUAGAACGGGCCAAAUUAUAGCAUCCAUUCAAGCUCAAUACCUUGACAUUUUGGAUGUGAUCUAUAUCCAAACCAGAAAUUUCAUGAGGUCCAUCGAGAAGCAAGACAUCUCGCACAUGAAUGUCAGACAAAAGGCUGCUUGUAACCUUCUUUCCAAUGAAUGAAACUUUAGAAAAUGUUGGAGAAAUCCCAGGUGGACAAUCAUAGCCAAACAGGCAUCCCUUCUCGUGCUCUUCCUGGGGUGGGUACUUCCCUUUCAAGAUUCUUAUGCACAGCUUGCGUACCAUGUCGUGCACAGUUACAUACUUUUCCCGAAGUAUACUAGUUGUCUUCACUAGGCAUCUUCGUUCCAGUUCACUAACAAUCUGCAGAGGCGAGAGUUCUGACCCAACCGCUAUCCAACAUUUUCUCAGAUGAUCAAACUGGAUUCGCUCAUCUUCUGGAAACGCAGCCACAUAGAGAAAGCACUCUUGCAGCUUUUCAUCCUUAUUAAAGCGUCCCAGCUCAUCAUAGCUAAACUUCAAGCGCUGGAACAUCCGCUUCUCAAUGUCCCCGUCAUUCAACAAAUGCAUCUUCUCAUAGCGUUCUUCCCACACCUGUGGCCCCUCAUUCCUGUAGACAGCCAUGGCACUGCCAAUCACUUCAAGAGCUAGAGGGAGCCCCUCACAUUUGCUAGCUAUUCUCUCGGCAACUUCCACAAUGUCCGGAUCACUAG
rnacentral:lncRNA from 1 species